UAAAUUACAAAAUAAUAAAUUAAUUUUUAUCUUGUACCUUAUUUUCAUCUCAACACUACAACAGAAUUAGGUUAUAGGGACACAUGUUUGGGAUACUUUUAAGUAAAUAUCUUAUUUAUGCUAAAACUUAAAAAAACAUCUACUUAUGCCUAAAUAUAAAGCCCAAUCAAACUAAAAAUAAAAGAUUACUCUACUCAACCCACCACACCCAGUCCAUUUGACCCGAUUACAAACAAAAAAAAAAAAGAAAAAUCAAUUACCAUCUUUUCUUUUCUCUUCACUCAAUCCAUUGAAAUUCUAGACGAAGAGCCUUUCCUGUCGUCCUCCUCCGUCACCAUAGCCAAUGAGAUAGAGUUUCGGCGAUUGCUAAAUGCUUAAAUAAGUGUUGGUAAUUAGCAGCACUCUUUUAGGCUAUAGCGACACUCUUUAACUGUCACUAUAUACCUAGCGACCCCACAUAUAGCAAUACUUUUUAAAAGUGUCGGUAAUUUUAGCUAGCAGCACUUUUUUGACAUGUACCUAUAUUUAAAAGUGUCGGUAUAAACCGUUUUUGUUGUAGUGCAAAGAGAUCCAAUUUUAAAAUAAUUGUUUAAUUCUGCUUUAAAAUGUUAUAGUUUUAGUAAAAUUUACCUCUAUCAACUUAUUUUGGUAAAAUUUUACAAUCAAAUAAACCGCUUCGUUCAUUUUAUUUAGAAAUAAAAUUAGCUAAAAAUAUGAAUCAACUAAAUUCGAACUUGGAAUCUCGGGUACCAACCACCGAGCCCUUUUCCACUUGCGCUAGGGACGGUCGAUAGUGCAGGUGAAAGUUAAUGCAGUUUUUUAUACAAGAAAGUAUAAUUGAGAGACGAACUUAAUUAAGUGCCCAAAAGAUUUCGUAAUCUAGGGUAAUAAAUAAUUAAGUUAAUGAGGAUUAGUUAGGAUAAGGUGAUUUGAACAAGUUCAUUUACUCAACUUCUUAAUGAGGAUUAGUUGGGAGAAGGCAUUUUAAUGAGAGGGUUAGUUACGAUAAGGUGAUUUGAACAAGUUCUUUUAUUACCAUCCCUAGAGCAAGUGACAAAGGGCUUGGUGGUUGGUACCCGAGAUCCAGGUUCGAAUCCUAGUUGAUUCACAUUUCUAGCUAAGUUUAUUUCUAAGUGAAAUAAACGAAGCGGGUAGCGUGCUACCUAUCUCUCAAAAAAAAAAAANAAAAAAAAAAACAAGUUUUUUUAUUUUUUUUUUUUAUUAAAAUGCACCAUCGUAGUGCAAUAGAAUUUUAAUUUAUUGGACGUGUUCUAUAAUAUUCAAAAGACAUACAUAUCUCAAAUCAUAAGUUUUAGUUAUCAUUAAUUUCUUCUGGAUUGAACAAAAACAUUGAAUAUAAACUAUAAAAAAAUAUCAUUCUUUCGUAGCUUAAUUUUUAGACACAAACAAUUGUUUCACAUGAUAUCAUAGCAAAACGUCAUUCGUUUGGUUCGGGGUUAAGAAAAAAGUAACUAUUCCAGGGAUAGAGUUAAGUUCAAGGUUAAAGUGGGGUUAAAAUUUUUUUGUGUUUGGUUGGGGGUUGGAGUUAGUCUAGAAUAAUAAAAAAUAGUGUCUGGUUGGAAUAGGUGGGAUAAGAAGAUAAUGAUUGAUAAAGAAGGAUAAUGAUUGGUUGGAGUAUGUGGGAUAAAAAUGAUAGUGGGUUAUUAUGAAUAGAAAAUAGUGUUUAGUUAGAGUUUGGUGAGGUUAGGUGGGGUUAGCUAACCCGGGAUAAUUUAUUUGAGGUGGGGUUAGCUAACCCCACCCAUUUUUUGGAGUGUUUGAAAAUAAUAUGGGGGUUAAGGGGUUAUUCCACCUCUUAACCCCCAACCAAACAAGGACUAAGAGUUCAAAUCCAAAUUUAGUGCCUCUUAUUUAAUUCAAGUAUAUAUCUUCGUUUGUUUUAUCCAAAAUUUUCACACUAGCACAUAAGAGGAUGAAAAAAGUACCGUCAGCUAUUAAUCUUUUUUAUCUUUUUUUUUUUUCCAUCUCUUUCUUUUCCAUAAUUGACUUGAAAAAGUUAUAACUUUGGUUGCAUUCUUAAAAAGGAGAUUGUUAUCAAAUAAGAUAGAUCUCUACUUAGAUGCUUUAGGCAAAAUCUUCUCAAAUAAGAUAAAUAGUUAUUAUGUAACAAUUAGUAGCAUUCCAUAAGAAAGGAGAUUGUUUCACUCAAGGUGGGGAGGAAGAAAGGAGAUUGUUCCACCGAAGGUGGAGAGAAGUAACGUGAAGUGAUUUUCGACUGUAUAUGCCCAUUUUCUUUAUUUGGUUCAUCAAAAUUAAAUAAGACCGUAAUUCAAUUUUUUCGUAACGUUGUAUUUGAUUUAGCAUUGGUUGGUAAUGAUGAAGUCAAUCGCAGAAGAAAAAGAGAUAGAAAAAAUAAUAAAAUUUGAACAAUUGUUUCCAUAAUGUUGUAUUUCGUUUAGCAUUGUUUGGUAACGGUGAAGUCAAUUACAGAAGGAAAAGAGAUAGAAAAAUAAAAUAAAAUUUGACGAUUGUAACACACACACACUUUUUGGGAAACAAACACAGAAAGUGAAAAGCAUCAGUUUUGAGGCCAUUAAACGAACGGCGGUUAGAAAAAUAGUUUUUACUUGAACUUUAUUUCAAUUAAAAAUUAUUUUCAACCUGAAAAAUAGUUACACGCACAAAUUAACAAGCAGACCCUUGGUGGAGUCGAGCUUGAGCAAGGUUUGUUGAGCAUCUCACUAACUUAGGGCCUCCAUGGUACUGAGGGUUGUCUAAUGCAUGUUAUUAGAUAAAGAUAUGCUCCUGUGUAUUAAGUGGACUAUAUAAAUUAUAUAUUGUAACUGAAUCAUUAGAUUUUACAUCGUGAUGUCUUUUACACAAAUAAUGGUACAUUUUUUUCAUCGCACUUUCUGCCUGUACGUAAUGCAUCGUCCCCUCAACUCCAAAUAGAAACUAAGAUAGUUAAUGAUCCAAGAUAUAAUGUUUGUUUUUUUUUACUCUUUAUGUUGGAGUGCAAAUAAUUUUUCUCACAAUAAUAAUUGUAAUAGGCUGGAGGACCCUCAUGGACUGUGCUACUGGGGAGAAGGGAUAGCACCACUGCAAACAUCACUGCAGCCAACAAUCUCCCUAGCCCCUUUGAUAACCUGACCACUCUUGAACAGAAGUUCGCCGCCGUCGGUCUCAACGACACCGAUCUCGUCACAUUAUCAGGUAUCUGCAUAAUCAUCAAAUAUCAACACUUUCUCAACUCGAAAUGCAAAAGUCAAAUGUUCUAAAACACACACAAAAAACUGGAACAAAUUAUGGUUUGUUUAGCUCCCAACAAAUUAAGCCCUAAAAAUAUGUUUGCUAUAGAGCUCUCUAAAAACAUAUACUACUAUACUACCCGAAAAGUCAUGGGAGUUGAAUCCGGCAUGCAAGGUUUGAACUUGAGUGACAGACCAACUGGUUUAUACAGUGGCUAUUAAUGUAUGUCUUUUUGUAGCUGGUUAAUGUUCUCUUUUAUAUUCACUUUUGUCAAUAACAGGAGCUCACACAUUCGGCCGAGGCCAAUGCCGGUUCGUCACUCCACGGCUCUAUAAUUUCAGCAGCACCGUGAAUACAGACCCGACCCUGAACUCAACCUAUGCGACCACAUUGGAGCAAAACUGCCCCCAGGGCGGGAACGCAUCGGUCCUGAAUAAUCUCGACCCGAUCACGCCGAACACGUUCGACAGCAACUACUACAUAAAUCUGCAGAACCACCAAGGGCUCUUCACAUCUGAUCAGGAGCUCCUGUCGGAUCCCAAUGCGACGACGACCGCCUCGAUCGUCAAUAAUUUUGCCGGCAACCAGAGCGCAUUCUUCGAUAGCUUCGUGCAGUCGAUGAUCAACAUGGGGAAUAUUAGCCCCUUGACAGGGAGCAGUGGGGAGAUCAGAACCAACUGCAGUGUGGUGAAUAGCGGAUCCGGUUUGGAGUUGCAUAUUCGGAUUCAACAUGAUUCUGACAAGGGUUCAGCUGCAGAAUAAAAUAUUAAAAAAUAGGGUAAAUUGCAAAUUUGGUGUGGUGGGUGACAUUUUGAUCCUCAAACUUUAAUUUAUUGUCAUUUCUUGCUCAAACUUUUGGAAUUGGUGCAAUUAAGUUCUAUAACCCAAAUUAGUUGACUAAAUAUUGAUAUAUUACUAAAAUAGAAGUAAUGUAAUAGUGAUGUGAUUGAUAAUACACAAAUAUUUAAAAUGUCACAUUACUUUUACAUCAGCGAUCAAUGCGUCAAUAUUUAGUUAAUUAAAUUAGGUUUUGGAACUUAAUUAUAACAAUUCUGAAAGUACAAGCUAGAAAUUACAACAAAUUAAAGUUUGAGCACUAAAUGUCAUCGGUCUCAUAGUUUGAAGAACAAGCAUGCAAUUUACCGCAAUAAUAUAUAAUGUAUCUGAACUUAAAUCUAAAUAGCUUUUUGUGAUCACAAUAAUAUGAUCAGAGAUAUACUCUCUCUCUCUCUCUCUCUCUUUCUCUCCUCUUUCUGGCUCUCUUUCUCAUCUUACUUUUUCCUCAUCCACAAUGGUACUCAUAACAGUGCUAGAAAAAAGUCUAAAAUGUGGAAGUCACAUAGAUGAUAUGGUACUGUUUUCAACCAAUCACAAUUGAAUCCUAGAGUUCGCCCAUUUUAUCACACGGUGUUAGAAAAAUAGUUUUGGUGUACUAUUUUUCAAAAAGAGAAAAUUUGAUUGGUUGGGAUAUGGGUGACGUAGUGCGACCGCUACAUAGAAGACUUUCUCUAGCAUUAGAGUCCUCGUCCUCCUGUCAAUAAUGUGUGUUAUUUUUGUGUUUGGGUAUUGUGAGUAUUCUGGUCAUAGCGGUGUGCGGCAAAUUCAAUAAAGGCUUGUUGAGGACAUUGUGCUUGGUUACUGCUUUCACAUGGCUCAAGUUUUUCUUCAUAGUGUUUAAUUUUUGUCUAUUUCUCACGGGCUUUCACGUCGAUUAUGACUUUAAUUGUUCUGUCAACUUAGUUGCUUUGAUUUGUUGGUUUUGGGGUUUUAUUUAUUGUUUUCUUUUUAUAUUUUUAUUGUCCAGGGUUGUGCUUAAAAUUUCUCUCCAAAAUUAUGUACUGUCAUAAUCAAGUUCUACUCCAACGAAAUGCCUACGGAUUUUUUUUCUUUAAAACAAAUAUAUAUGAUUUAGAUCAUAAAUAUGUUUUCCCCAGUGAACUGUUUAGAUCACAUAAACCAAAAAAAAACUACUUUGCCUUUUUUUAAAACUGUUUGUUAAGUUCAUUCGAGUUUAACAAGCAUUAAGAAUGGCUUCAUUUCGCUGUUGCAGAUUGUUUAUAAACUUUGUAAUUGUUUCAUGUCAAAAUUAAAUUUCAAGAGUAUUAGCUUUUGUUUUUUUUUGUUUUUAAAAUAAGUUUGCAAACUUACAAUAAUAUAUAAAAAAGAGCAUAUAGAGAAAUCCAUAUCUAGUUUCUUGAAUAAAGUAGAACUUGAACAAUGCAAAAAUAAUAUACACAAAUAAUGGCAAAUAUAUACAACAUCAGCUAUUGUCACGUACGUUACGGGAUUCUUUUUGAAAAUCUUUUUUAAAAAACUAGCGAAAAACGUAAAUUUUUUUUUUUUCUAAACACCUUUAAAGGCACCUCGAGAAUUCGUCAAGAUCUAUCAUAUGGAUAAGGGAUCCCUAAGCGAAUGAAUAGAAUCUCUCUUAUACAUGCAUGACAUUGAACAUUUAUACAAACAUCAACCCCACAACAAGCACACAGACAGAUAUACACAUAAAUAUUUGAAAUUCAUAAUUAGAAAUCAACUAAACCAAUAACUAAAUCCAUAGUUAGCAGUCAUUAAUAAACAAUAAGUAACAAACUAAACUAAGUCACGUGGAUCUGAAACAUAAAACCAAUCUGAAUAAACUGAAACACAUGGUAACCAAUCUGAAACAAUAUAAAACCAAUCAAAAAUGAGUAGAGUAAAAAUAAAAUAAAAUAUUAAGCUUAUAAAGAAUUUUUUUGAGUUAAAAGUUAAAACUGAUAAAAAAAUAAUAUUCUUAAUUUUAAAAUUCUUUGAAUAGAUAAAAUAUUAUAUUAACUUAUAUUCUAUAAAAACCAAUUAAACUCAAAACGUGUAUCUUGGGUAAAUGGAAUUGAUUUAUGAUGUAAACCAACUGGUCAAACGAAGAAGAUAAAACUUCGCAAUCUCUCAUUAAAACCUUAUUUCCAUUAUUAAAAAUAAAAAAUGAUCUUGUUGCAUAUGAUGGCCAUAAAUAUUUUAAAUGAAUAUUUUAAUCAAUCUUUAAUUAUCUCUCUUAGCAUAUAUUUACACAAGUUGGAGUUUGGAGUUAGUAAAACAUGUGUCCAGAGAGACUCUUCUCUUUCCCCACUCAAGAUCUUAAUUUAUUAUGUAUGUUUUCGAAAAAUAUGCUUUGAUCAGAUUCUAUAUUUCAUGAACCACGACAAACGUAACCAAGAAAAUAGAAAAAGACAUAUUCAUCUUCAACAAAAAAUAUUCUAUUCAGACAUAUAAACAUUAGCACAAAAUAUAUUUUAGACGAUGCUUUUUAAACGCUCAAUUCUAGCAUUGUUAAUAUUUGGCAUGCGUCGACACUAUAAUUAAGUAAUAUUUUUAUCAGAUACUGAUAAAAAUUCUCUGACGCUAUAUUAAAGCGUUGGUGUAUUUAUUCCGACACAUUUACUUAACGACUCUUUGCUUGACACUUUUACAAGCGUCGGGAUUAUUCUUACCGACGCUUGUAUGUAGUAUCUCUGGUGUUUGGUUACCCGUGGAUUUCAGCAUCUGAGACUUAUCGACACAUCUGGAGAGUGUCGAGAUAAGUCGCAAUCGUUUUGGCGUGAAAUGGACGCAAAACGGACUGAGUGCAACGUGAGAGCAGAGUUUGAUAUUGAAAUUUGCAAAGUGUGGGUUUCAGUAUUAAGUACCGGUACCAUGCAGGGGAGUACCGGUAUCCAGUGUAUUUUUCGAACAGCUGCUCUCGGGUUGCGAUAAUUGAUGCUGAGUACUGGUAAGGCAUCGGGCUGGUACCGGUACUCUAGCUGGAAUGUUGAGUUGGUGAGGGGUAGAACGGUCUUUUUGUUGGUGGUUAUCCACACCACCAAAUCCCUCGUAUUUAUCCACCAGAGAGAUUAAUUAUCCUUCUCCUCUCUUUCUCUAACUUUGGUUAUAUGCUUGGUGGAGACCACAGCUUGAGCUCGGAUCGACGUCGACGUUGCGCCGGGGAGCUGAUCGAGCGCGUGGACGUCGCGGUUGCGCCGUUAGAGGCCGGACGAGCGCGUAUUUUCCCUUCUUUUGACUUCUCACCGUAGUUGGACUAGUUUUUUGAGGUGGGUUGAAGUUUACAGAAAUCGCCGGAAUACCUCCUAUGUUUUUAUACCGUCGACAUGUAUCAUUUGUGUAUUUUUCUUACUAGUACUCGAAUUCAUGGAUUAGUGUUUAAAUCUGAAUUUGGCGUUAAGCUAGUAGUUUAAUAUUAUAUGUUAGACUUGGAAUUGACUUAGGAGAAAACAUAUAGAUCCUACAUUGUCACUUUCUGAAAAUUACCAGAUUUAGUUUUAGAAGCUAUGGUUUAUUUGUAUCGUCGUUGUUAGUAUGCGAUGGAUACCCAGAUUAGGAUAGGAUGAGUUUACGCUCGUACUGGGAUGCCGAGUUUAUUUUUACAGUAGUGUGUAGACUGUUUCAGACUGUCGGGUGCCGUCGCGGUUGACAGUGGACCCAAAUUUCUAUAUUUACAUCAGAUUGUGCCAAGGGCACGUGAGUUUUGGUUGUUAGACCAGUUAGACCCAGUUGUUUUGAUUAUAGUCCGUGAGAGCCUGAUUGAGCUCGUUAGAGACAUACUUUCAUACUCGGUUGGGUAGCGCCCACGAGUGCCACUCCGGAGUCGGGCUUAAUGCGUUUGCGUUGAUGUCGUAGUGUCCUGGUUGGACUUGGUCUCCACCAACAAUCCAGCGUGGUGGUGGUUGGUGUAGUUUCGACAGAUGGGACGGUUGUGUUCACAGUCCCUAAUGAGAUUGGGUCAGAGAUUGCAUCUUGCUUAUAUCUACAGAUAACUAAUGUUGGUUAGCGACAGUAUAGUGGCAUGUAGCCGUAGAGUUUUUUCAGCUUUCUUUACUAUUCUUGAGCAUACUUUCUGUAGACUGUGGGUGAGCCGUUGAGGUCGGCAGUGGUACCCACUGAGGGCUACUUUUUUUUGGAGUAGUUCUCACACCCAGUUGUUGACCCUUUUUUGCAGAGCCUUCGUCCGCGGCUGCUGCUGUUCCUGAUUUGGAUCGUGGAAAGGGAGUCGCGAGCUAAAUCCCUUCUAGUCUUGUUGCUGUUCUAGAGGAGUACCAGCUAUAGAUAGUUUUGAUUUUUAGUUCAUGUAGAUACUGAUGUUAGUUAGUCGCUGGAGCGAGUGAUGUCUGUAUCUUGGAGAUUAUGUAUGUAUAGUGAACCUGAUAUUUAUUUAUAUAUGUGUACAGUUCUGUUAGCAGCUCUAUACUACUAGUUGUAGUUUUGUAUGAUUACAGGUAUAGAUACAGCUAUCGCUUUAUAUACAGAGAAAAUUCUUUUGUAUACGGCGGGUCUAUUGGCGUGCCCGAAAAAAUGUGGUAAUCCGGGAUGUGACAUUUAAAGUAUCGCUAAUUAUUGUUUAAACUGCCCUUAAGUGCAAGAUUUGUUGUAGUGAAAUAUUUUAUGUAGUAUAUUUUUCUUAUUUUAUUUACGGAGUUUAUAAUAUUUAGUAAAUGAGGAAUUUAAUUAAAUGUCUAAAUUGAAAUAUCAUACUUACCCGUCAAAGUUUUUUUUGAGAAAAAGAAAAUUUUAUAUGUGAAUAUAUUAUCUAACCAAAUAAUGAAUAACACGGCCUUUUUGAAAAUAAAUAUCAGUCUCUCAAAUAAUUCCAAUCAUGAAAGAAAAUGCACAAAUCGAAGGAGUUAUUGCGUGCCCGGGGAACGAGACAUCCGGGGCGUGACAUAACCCUUCUUUGGAUGUCCGAAUAAAUUAUUUAGUGAUAACUUACACUACAACAGAAUUAGAUUAUAGAGACACAUUUUUGAGACACUUUUAUAUAAGUGUCCCAUUUAUACUAAAACUUUUAAAAAAGUCAACUAAGGCCUAAAUAUAAAAUCCAAUCCAACAAAAAAUAAAAAAGUUAUUCUGCUCAACCCAUCCCACCUAGCCCAUUUGGCCUAAUUAUAAAAUAGAAAAGAAAAAGAAAAAAAAAUCGAUCACCAUCUCCCCUUCUCUCCUCACUCAAUUCACUGAAAUCCUAAACGAAGACCCUUCGCUCUCCUCCUCCUCUGCCACCGCAGCCAACGAGGUAGAGUUCCGGCUGUUGCUAAAUACUUAAAUAAGUGUUCGUAAAUUAGCAGCAUUCUUUUUAGAUUAUACCAACACUCUUAAACUAUCACUAUAUACCUAUCAUCUCCACAUAUAACAAUAUUUUUUAAAGUGUCGGUAAUUUAGCCAGCAACACUUUUUUUGAUCUAUACCGACAUUUAAAAGUGUCGCUAUACAUCAUUUUUAUUGUAGUGUUAUUUGGAAUGAGAAUUUUCUUGUGUGAUUGAAGAUGUUCGAUUUUUGCUAUUUAACUGUUUUGACAUUUGUAAUUUGAUAAUAUAACAUAUUUCAUCUAUAAAGUAACUUUUCUUAUUCUGAAAAAAUGACUAAAAUGCUAGAUAUAUGAUAUUCCAUUUAGACAUUUUAUCAUACGUCUCAUCUGUCUUAUAAAUAAAUCAAAGAUUACCGAAAAAAUGAGAAUUAUUGUUUAUGAUUGCUAGUUACGAGUAUAAUCUUAAAAGAUCUUUAAUGUGCAUGAUCUGGUUAAACCGGUGUAAUCCGAAUAGGGGGUAAGUCAUAUUAUUUAAAAAAUAUUAAUGAUUUAAUGACUAAAUAUAAUAUGCCUAUGUACACAAUUGAUUAUACUUCUCAUCUAUAAAAUAUUACAAACUUCAUUAGUAUUGCGCUGAAUAAGAUGUUCAUAAAUCCAAAUAGACUCAAAGUCAAAAUUAAUCCUGAUUUCCAUUACUUUCUUGUACCUGUGGGUUUUAUAAAGAAAAUCAAGACAAAUUUAAAAUACAUAAAUAUUUUAUUCUGUAUAUAUUUACAUAAAUAUUUUAUUCUGUAUAUAUUUGAAUUUUAUUUUAUUUACAUUAAAUAGGUGUAAGUGCUAACUAACUAUUUCAAAAGCAUGAUAGCACUCAUUGGUUUCCUUUUUGAGAGAUAGAUAGCACGCUACCCGCUUCGUUUAUUUCAUUUAGAAAUAAACUUAGCUGGAAAUGUGAAUCAAUUAGGAUUCGAAUUUGGGUCUCGGGUACCAACCACCAAACCCUUUGCCACUUGCUGUAGGGACGGUCGGUGAUAGUGCUCAUUGGUUUCAAUCUGACUCAACCCACCUAGAUGUUAGGUUUAUUGUUUGGGCUCAUCCAACUCAACUUAUUGGGCUCAUCCAACUCAACUUAUUACUCUCCUAGCCCUAUUGUCUAUAAUAACUAUAAAAUUCAUACUCUGUAAUGAAUUAGUUUACUUAAAUUCAUUUGAAUUUAUAUUCAAAUUCUGGAGGAAAGAGAGAAAAGGUUAUUUUGAGAUUCAAACACCUUCAAAUGAAACAAAAAACACUAUUUUAACGGUCCGGCAGUACUGAAAGCGUGGUGAAGUCCAUUUUCACAUUUGGCUCAUCGAAAGCUCAAAAAAGCACGAAAAUAAAAACGAGGUCAAAAUUGAAAAAUUAUUUUUUAAAAAAAGAUUAAAUAUUUUAUGUACCAUUUCACGGGAAAUUGAAUAGGGAGGUACCUUUAUGCUAAAUACACGUACUGCUGAGGGCUUAGAACAAAAUUUUGAAAAUGGAGGGACUUUGGAGCAUUUUUGCCAAACCCUACAUAUUGGUUCGGGUAUAAGUAAGAACUAGCUUAUACCAGAGAUAGGUACAAAUUUAGAUAUAAGCGAGAACCAAACCAAUUUUGUGUUUGGAUGAAAAUUUGGUUGUUCACGGGAAUAAGAAAAAUAGCGGUUGGAUAGAUAAGAUGGAAUAAGAAAAAUAGUUGAUGGUUAUAAAUAGAAAAUAAUGAUAUUACCCCUCAUUAUAUUUGAAUUUNGGAGGAGGAAACCCUUGGGAGGUCGAAGGCGUGGGCCUGGGGUGGCACCGAGGGGAAAGGAGAUUGGGUCAAGUGGCUUAGUGGGAGAGAGAGAGAGAGAGAGAGAGAGAGAGAGGCUUGGGAGACUGUUGGCCGAUUUUCGACGGUCGCGGGAUGGUCGCCGGUGGUUGGGAUCGACGACGAUGUAGCAGAGGAGAGUCCUUGUGACAGCUGAUGGGUUGAGAGGGAGAGGGGAUUGAAUAGGGUUGAUGGAAACCCUAAGAGCCAGUUUGGAUUGGGUACAAGAUGGGGUAUAAGGUCCUUAUACCCCAUCUUGACCUUAUACCCCAUCUUGUACCCGAACACAAUUUGGGCUAGGUCGGAACUAUAUUUCCCACCUUAGCGCUAAGGUGGGAAAUAUAGUUCCGACCUAGCCCAAAUUGUGUUCGGGUACAAGAUGGGGUAUAAGGUCAAGAUGGGGUAUAAGGACCUUAUACCCCAUCUUGUACCCAAUCCAAACUGGCUCUUAGGGUUUCCAUCAACCCUAUUCAAUCCCCUCUCCCUCUCAACCCAUCAGCUGUCACAAGGACUCUCCUCUGCUACAUCGUCGUCGAUCCCAACCACCGGCGACCAUCCCGCGACCGUCGAAAAUCGGCCAACAGUCUCCCAAGCCUCUCUCUCUCUCUCUCUCUCUCUCUCUCUCCCACUAAGCCACUUGACCCAAUCUCCUUUCCCCUCGGUGCCACCCCAGGCCCACGCCUUCGACCUCCCAAGGGUUUCCUCCUCCGGCAGCCCGAGCGCGGCCAGGCCCUCCCCGAGCAAAGGAUCAAAGUUUGAUCCUGUUUGGAGUGGUUUCGGGCCAUACCUCUGUUUGACCGCCGCUAUCGCUUCCUACCUUUGCUGUCGACCCGGAAGCACCCUCCGGAGUCGCCCUAACACUCCCGAACUUCUCCUAUGGCCAAAAAUCUAUGUUCCGGCCUCGGGGCUUCUUGGUUGGUCACAACAUCAAAAGCGCCGCCACCUAUGCCUCCCGCCGCCGGCAGUUGCCUCCCCUAACUCCUUCCUAACUGCCACUAUAUUCAUCAACCGGCGCAUGUGCCCCCUGGCCGUCGAAGCUCGGGAAGAAGAAGAUGCUAUCUUGGUUGACCCGAGCUAGGGUUUUCUUUUGGCCGACUUCAUUUUCUCGGCCAUCCCUGAUACCACCGACUCCACGGAAGGUGAGCACGAUCCUCCUAAAGUGCUUGGACAUCCGUGCUCACAUUCAUUGUAGUCCAAGAGGUCUCGAUUUGUGGAUCCUGCUAUGACGCUCCCAAAGACCUUGAAAACUACAAUUCAUGUAACCCUGGUGCACUUCUCAGCCUUCGUUUGCACUUCAAACAAUGAGCUCGGGCUUUGGUACGUCGAGACCUGUCAGCCAACUAAAAGAUACGACGACCCAGAGAUCUAAAAAGUAAAAACACACCUAGAGGGGGGUGAAUAAGUGUAAAUAAUAAAAUAACCAACUGGAUGCAAUAUAAACCAUAUGUGGAAAAAAUAAAGCCAACAAACCGAGGUUUUUACAUAGAAAACUCCAAGUGGAGUAAAAAACUACAUGACUGAUCACACAAAAAAUCCACUAAGGAAAAAUAGAGUAUAAGGUGAUUUACCGAAACCUUGACUCAACCUUUACCAUAGACUUGAAGUAGAUUUUCUUUGCUGGUCCCUAAUCGAUUGAACUCCUUCAAUCAAUGACGUUACUACUCCUCGCAGCAUCAAAGCCUCGAAUCCACGAGCGUUCACUGAAUCCUCGACCUCACACAAGUCCAUGCACAACUUCUCAUUUCGGAGCAAGUAGAACAAUAGUUAGUGGUGAUUUUCAUGCUUAGAAAUUCAUAAGAUAUGAGGGAAAACCUUAUAAGAAUAAUCAAUUUGAUUCUUAAUAGAAUAUCUGGAUUAAAGCUCCAAAAAUCAAAUUGAUGAGACAAAAAAAGAAACUUGUUCUCGAAAGAUGAAAAAAAAAAGCACCAAAACAAGUUUCUAUGGUUUCCGAGAGGUAUUCUAUCUUAGCUACGUUCCGGAGACACUCCCUAUUUAGAUGCUUAGAAUCAUAUUAGAAUUGAAAAUACGUUUUCGAAAAAUUCAUGAUGGGUUCAGAGUCCGGACCCUUCAUCAAUGUCUGGACUUUAAUACUUUCAAAGCAUCAAAGUCCAAAUCUUCCCCUCAAAGUCCAACCCUGCGUUAUAGCCAAGAAGGCUUACGAGGUCUAGACCCCGCCUUAAAGUCCGGACCCUGAAACUUGAAAAACUUCAGUUUUGUUCCGUAAUAAGUUUCAGACCUAUUCUAAUAUUUUUCAAACACUUAGAAAUAAUGCGUAAAUCAUCAUUAAUAUGUAAUCAUACCUCGGAGGCGUGAGCUCCAUAAACGAGUUUUUGAUCUUGAUGUCUUCUUCUUCAACCCUUCAAGACUCUAUAUGACUCCACGAAAUACGCCAACAUAAAAUCCGCAAUACCAACACUGCUGGUUGGUUUUCAAAGUGCACGAUUUUCGGUAACGAGUCCAAACCCUAACUUUUUAUAUAAAUUAAUGCUAUUAGAUUAAUGCAACUUUAGAGGUUUUUGUGCAAAUUGGUCAUGUGGGUUACUUCGAGUAGCGUGAACCCACAAUAUUUGACUUCUGGACUGAUCGUCCUAAGUCCGAUGAUCUGUAUGAAGCAUAUUUAGGGUUUUGGAGCAUUUAUCGGCAAAAACAAGAUCAUGGUUUCAGUUCAGGUUUUGCAUUUAAUCAACGUGAAUCCCUGGUAUUUUUCGCUGUGCCUUGUUGGUUGGUUGCCCUUGCUGUCUCAUGUGUCAGGAGACAACGAGUGGGCGGCGGAAGGUUCCGGAACCGAAAUUGGCAUUUUCAAAAACCCGAUACGGCUUAGUUUUCAUUAAACGCACUUGUUAGCGUAGUGUUCAUGUGUUUGCUGCCUAGACACCCAAAUCAGUACGUUUUAGGGCACUGGGUGAUGUACCAUAUGGAUUGGUACUUUAUAGGGCACUUUGUAGGUUUUGGAAGUGUUACAAUGAGUUUCCAAGAAAUUCCAGCGGGUUUUGGGAAUCGGUAAAAAGAACUGGUUGCUUGAUGGCUUCGAGAAUGUGAGAUUAGUGACUUUGGAUCACUUAUUAGGGUUUGUCCUAUUUAGUGGAUUAGUUUGUGACACCAUGGAUCUUUUGAAGGUACAGUCGAUGGUAAGGAGCACCUUAGGAGUUAGGUGCCUCGUAUGAUUCAGAUGGAUGCUCGAUCCAAAGUCGGUAUAGUGGUGCUAGUUUAGUGACAUUCUUUUUCUUUCUCUUUAUACUUGAUUACACACAUUGCAUGUUGAGCACGUGAUUACCACUUGACUUCACUUCUCCUUGCUCUAUUUUUAUAUAUUUAUCAUGACUUAGCAAUAGAGCAGUAUUUCAUUGGAUGUCAUUACAUGACUUGAUACAUAUAUAAUUGACCUGCUUAGUCGGUAUGAUGUGAGAUCUAUGAGAUUGGAUGACCUAAUUAGUCGUUGUAUUCCUUUUGGAUCCUGUCUCGGUUAGUUGCCUAUGGUUGGUUAUUGAUCAUAUUGCAUCCAUUAACAUAGCUCAUGUGCAUUUCACUUUGGCCGCCGCAAUAGUAUUCUCUUUCGAAAAAAUGGUCGUACUUUCAACCCAUAAACCCUAUAUAUACGACCUACUACUAGGACCAUAUGCCAAAUAUGGCAGGACGUGGCAUUGCCUAAGGGUAUCAGACCAACAUGGCAAGUGAUUGGGUAUUCUAGGACUUUUCAUUCGAUUGAUGCAUACUCUUUUUGUUUACAGUAGCGGUAGUUGUACACUCGUUAUUCAUUUCCUUUCAGUUCAUAUUUGCUACUGUAUUCAUCAUAGUUUCAUACCAUGCUAUACUAUUUUUCGUUUGCCCAUGAGUACAGCUUGCUAUUGUCGGCUUAUGGUACCUAUUGAAAAACCUCAAGUUGGUUUAUCAACCCAUGUUUUUAUAGGUGACACAGGCAAUGAUAGUCGGAACGGUGCAUGAGGUUCAUGUAGCUAGUGAGCCUAGUGGUCCUGUGGAUUGAUCAUUUUCUUGCUACGGUUUAUGAUUCUUUGUUAUCCCAGUUAUUCAUUAAUAAUUCAGAUACUGUGGUGAUUCAGUUUAUAUUUGAAUGGUUAUUUUGAAGUAAUAAACUGUGGAUUUAUGCUUAGGUGCAUGACAGGGCAUGCAUCAUUUUCACUAAGGACUGCUUAGUUGUAUGUGCAUUUAGCCUGUUUUGAAUGUUGGGUGGUAAGUGGAUUUGUUUGGUUGUGGAACGUAACAGGUAGAUAUGCCGUGCAAAUAUAGAGCAGACUCUAUCCGUUGGGAUAUAGAAAUUUCUGUAUUUGUGAAGGGUCUGUCCACCCCGUGGUAUAUAAGGUUGUGUUUUUUUUAAAGAAAGAUGGACAUUUUUUCAUUGGCGUUACUUUCCAAGUUUAACCUUUUUCUGAAAAAGCUUUACAGAAACGUCCCCGGAGCGCGACAUUGUCACAGGGCAAGGAGUUGGACCUAUUUUAGCCAAUAAUAAAUAGGCAACAAGCCCCCGCAAUACUCUAUUAAUGCUACUUGCAAGAAUCAAAUCUGUGCCACUGGCUCUGAUAUCGCUUGUGAAUCAUAAGCACUAACCACAAUUUCGAAAGCACGUGUGACAGGAAGGACACAUCCAUCGCACUUAAGAGCUCAACUAUAGCGCUUACGAAUUUCGACCUGACUUAAUCCAUCUGAAUGCUAGAUCUAUUAUUAGGUCUUUUGCCGCUAGAUCUAUUAUGGACCACAACCUCACACAAUUUAUUGGGCCCAUCCAACUCAAAUUUCUAAUCUUCUAGGCCUGUUGUUACGGUGCAGAAAGUUGAAUCUAUUUUAGACAAUAAUAAGUACGUAACCAACAACAGAACAGAGACUGGUGGGUCCCUACUAGAAUUAUUUAGCAUGUGGUACAGGCACUUAUUGACAUGCCUAGCUAAUUUAAUAGCUGGUCCCCAUCUAAAUGGUUUGGGGCCAAAUCAUGUGCCUUUCAAACAACAGGAGAAGUAAAAAAUGGGUUAUUAUUGAAUUGAUUAAUUAAAACCUAAUCCAUCAGUUUAAUUAUUUUCUUAAUUCUAGAAUAUUAUGUCGAAAUGAGUCAUAAGUUGUUACCACAAACUUCUUAUUUAAUAGAUCUCCUUCUACAAAACUAGAACCAGUAUAUGAAAUAUUCCUUUCAAACCAAGAUUUAUUGAUCUAUAUAUAUUUUUAGGUAGAAGAAAUGUACGGAAAUUAGCCACCCUCAACUAUUAGCAAUUCUGUAAAAGAGCCCUCAACUAUUUUUUUGAUAUAGAAAUUCCUCAACUUCUAUUUUUUAUUUGAAUUUUUAUACUUAGUUAAUAAAAGAUUUUGUCAAAUCUAAUGAUUUUUUUAGUUAUUAACCAUUAGCUGGUCUAGUUUUAUUUAUUAAAAAGUGAAUUUAAUGACUCAAAUAUGCAUAUUAAUUAUGCUUACUUUUAAUAAACUUGAAAAAAUUCUAAUAUUUUGACUAAAUUAUUUAAUUUUAAAAAAUAAAGGCUAAGAACAUUUCAAUAAAAGAAAAUAAAAUUGAGGGGGCAAUUCCAAGAUGGCUUAUAAUUGAGGGCUCUACGCUAAUUUUUAUGAUAAUUUCGAGACCUAAAAUGUAUUCUUCAAGCCUGAAAUUACAAGUGAUUAAAAUUAAUGACUAAAGUGCCGCACGUCUCACAGUUCGAGUCAGAAAUUAUAAUUAAUUAAAAUUAAGGACUAAAGUAUCGCGCACCUCAUAGUUUGAGGAUCAGAAAUGUUAAUUAGCUGAACUUUUUUUUUUAUAGGGGCAAUUGCUUAUUUAUUCCUAAAAAAUUUCAAACUUUUCUAUUUACUCCUCUUAAUUAAUAUAAAAAAUAUUCUUUUAACGUUUUAAGCUAUUUUAAAUAUGCCUUACAGUUAGAUUCUACAAGUAAACUAAUAGAAACAGUCAUUAUUUUUAUAAAAUUACUAUUUUGACCAUUCAAAUAUAUCCUUAUAUCGUCACCAACUUUUCUUAUGUGCCCUUAGGUACUGUAAUUUUUUGUCAACUCUGAUAGAAAUUUAAUCCGAAUUUAAUGUAAUAAUAUAAUUUAAUAGGUACUAAUAGUAAAAUUAUUUUUAAAUAACGGAGAUAUAUGUGGUAUAUAUAUUUAAAAUAAACAUAUAUAUAGAAAUACAUAAAAUAUUUUAAAAAUUUUUAGACGUAUAAAGAUUGUACCUUUUUUAAAGUAAUUUUUUGAAUGUCGGAAUUAAAUACUCCUUUCAAACAGGAGAUUAAUCAUAUCUACAUUUUUAUUUGACAAAAAAACAAAAAACACAACCGUAGAAAAUUCAUUGGUGGAAGAGUCAUCCCAACAUGCGACGACACAUGUUGCGACUUUUUUUUUUUUUUUUCCACAUGAUGUGAUGACUCAACUUUUUGUCCCUUUUUUUAAAAAAAAGUAAUCCAACCUUAUCUCGAAUUAUUUUAGAUCCAAAGCCGCUGAAGCCGGCCGGCCUUUUCAUAGUAUUAAAAAGAAAAAACCAAGAGCUGUCAGACUAAAAUAUAGAAUAGUUUGCUUUCGGCCGUAUUCAGAUAAUUUGGAUUUGAUAAAAAUUCGGUACAGAUAUAAUAAAUAUAAAAUUUAUUUUUAAUUUUUAAAUUUGUUGAAAAAUUUGGCUUAAAAAACGGAUUCGAUAAUUAUUCGGAUAUGUGAUUUGUAUGAAAAUUGUACGUUCAUCAAUUAAAAAUUCGGAAUAAAAAAUUCGCCUAUUAAAUUUGAAUUUUUUUUCUAGAUUUAUACUACUAUCGUAAACAGUUAUAAUUCUUAAAAAUAAAAAGCUAUAAAAUAAAGUAGAUUAAUCCAUUAAUAAUUGUAAAAUAUAUAUAUAAAUAUUUUUUUUGGGAGGCGAAUGAAGAGAGAACUCAUAUUUAAAUAUAAAAUAUAAGAUAAUCUAUAUUUAAACAUAAAAAUUAUAAGUUUUUUAUUCAGAUUUUUAAUAAUUCGCGAAUUAUUCGGCUGGCCCAAAAAUUCGCGAAUAAUUUUCUUUCUUUGGAAAAAAUUCGUAGACAAACCGUUUAAUUCGGAUCUUCAAUAAUUCGCGAAUAAUUCACAAAUUAAAUAACAAAGCUUUUAGCUACCAUAUUAUCAUGUCAGGUGUUAAUCUGUCUCUCGAUUGGAGCUAAAAUGUAGCACGUACUGGUAUAUUUGCGACGCCCCACUUCUAAGGGGUUAUCUAUUUUAGGAUCCUAACAAAUUUAACUCUUUUAAUCUCUUGGUCCUAACCACCACCCAAAAUACUAUAAUCGGGUUAAAAGUUUUUAGCCCUAUUAUAUUCUAUAUAUAAGAUUAUUUGGGGUCUUACACUCUCCCACCUUUUAAGCCUUAACGUUCCUGUCAGGUUCAAACUCACAAGUAUUAGACGAUAUAAAACUCGUCUCGUUAGUCUUAACCGACCUUGUGGGGAAGCCGCACUCUGCCUACAGCAAUCGUCAGCAUAAGAGUCUCGCUCUCUCUGCUGUUUAAUCUGGCUCAAUUGAGAUUCAUUUUACACUUUCGGAUAGUAAUUUUCUUUGAUACCAACUGUGACGUCCCACUUCCCAGAGGAUUACUUAUCAUAGCACUACUCUAGUCCUAGCACGUUUAAUUUUCUUACUCUCUUGGAUCUAUCUGCCUCCCAAAAUGCUCUAGUCGGGUUAAGAGUUUUUAACCCUAUUAUAUCUUAUAUAUAGGACUAUCUGGUGUCUCAUAAUUUUUAUGUCGUACAUCUUUGCUUCCCGGUUAGAGCUUUCACCCACCACGCCGUAGGGCGUUGGAAGCUCAGAUAUAGCAAUCGACGAAAUAGAUAUGUAGUAUCAAUUUUGUCCAACUUCUAAUUAACCCAGCUUCUCCCGUGAUAAAAGUUCUACUAAAAAUGGCCAUGUUUGUUAACACGGUGAGUAAAAAUACUAGUUUUAUAUUAUGAAAGUCCUAAAGAAUUUUAAAAAAAAAUUGUUAUUUAUAGGAUUGUACAUCUAACACACUUAGAUUCAAAGGUUCACCAAACUUUUUUGAGAUUUUACUAAAAGUAAAUAAAUAUAUUAUAAGACAAGUGAUUAGAUCCACCACAAAAAGGAUGGAUGUAAACUUUACACCUAUGUUAUAGUUGUACCGAUAGUAUUAUUCAAAAUUUUAGAAUAGUGCUUUUAGUCAUUGUAAUACAAAACGUACUACAAUAGAAUUAGAUUAUAGGGACACAUUUUUAAGACACAUUUAUGUAAGUGUCCCAUCUAUUCCAGAACUUUUUCAAAAAUCUAUUAAGGCCUAAAUAUAAAGCUCAAUUCAAUAAAAAAUAAAAAAAUUUUCUACUCAAUCAACCCCACCCAGCCCACUUGGCUAGAUUAAAAAAAAAAAAAAAAAAAAAAUUGAUCACCAUCUCCUCUUUUCCUCUUCUGCCGCCUCAGCCGACGAGGUAGGGUUCCGGCGGCUAGAGUUCGGUCGCGAGGAUCUUGCAAGGUACGUAGAGGGCUACGGUCAUCACGUGUCCCUCCGCCAUAGGUCGCUAGAGGACUGGACGCCAAACAUUAAUGCAGCCCCACAUAUAGCGACCCCACUGUUACACCUGUCAAGUAGUAAAGGAGGAUUAGGAGCAGUAGUAGGAGGUUUAGCUAGAAUAAUGAGAGGAGAGGAGGCUUAGCUUUUCUCUGCUUCAGGUCUCCGGUUGGGGGAAGCGUCGGCCGUUAGCUUGGGAGUGUGGAGAGCGUCGGUGGGGUGAAGGUCGCCGGUGGAGGAGAAAAGGGGUGAGAGAAGCGGGGAGCGAAGAGGUUGAUCCGAGCAAGCCGACAAAGGACUUAGAGCGUUUGACGAGUCGACUCAAGUUCCAGACGGUUCUGGCGGAUUCGGGCGUAUGGCGGAUUCGGGCACAAGGAUGGGAGCGACUGAUCCAAUAUGUCUUGGGAGCGGGCCGAGGAAUAAGCCCAUGUGGGAAUUUGGGCAGCAGAUAGUAGGUUUAGGGAGUUCAAUUAGAAUUAGGGUUUGCUUUAGGUGAAUAAAAAGGGCAGCGUGUAACAGAAGGUUUUUUUGAUGCGAAUUAAUGAAAUUUUCUUCUUCCUCAUCAACUCCUAAUUUCUCUUAAUCUUUCUUCUUCUUCUUAAUUUCCCCAUCCAUCUCCUUCCCUCUGUCUUCCCCCCUCUAUUCUCUCUUCAUCUUCUUUAUCGGAAUAGCUCAAUUCUGAUCUGAUUAAUCCGAGUCAGGCAGUUACGGGAACCAUCAUCCUCGACGCCGUCCUUCGUCUCAGCGAGAUUUCAUCAUCGACGGGUUGCGCCGAGUCAGGUAUGUAACAAUUGGUAUCAGAGCGGUACGAUCUCAGGGCGUUGUGUGGUGAAUUCGCUUCCUAACUCCAAUCAAGUAUUGUCGAGUUUAAUAGCGAGGGGAUUUCUGCGCUGCCAAAUCUGAUACGAGAUCGGGUUUGGACAAAAGAAACCACCACAGUAACAUCCCUGAACUGUAUCACGCUCUGACCGCUUUUAAUCAUCCUCGGAUAUUAGCAAGAUUGGGGGCAAACGAGGCAACAAGUUUCGAUUUAACCCAAAAGAAUAUCUGGAUGAGAUAGAGAUGGCUGAGGGGACUAGGUUGAGAGACCUGAGUGAUCAUAUACGUACGCUAGAAGAGCAGUUCCAAAAAUUGGGAGCUGAGCAUCAAGCCGAGAUUGAGGUAAUCAACCAUCAGAUUGCCGAAGUCAAGGAGUCCGGGCAGAGGCAAUAUGAAGCGAUACAGGUCGAGGCAAAUAAAAGGCACGAGGAGCUGCUCAAGCUGUUCGCAGCUCAGCCACCUCCACUCAAGAACCAGGCACCGGUAAGCCCACUGGAAGGGAAGCCUCCACAUGCGGCAACCCUGGGAUCAGUAGAACACCAUUAAUUACCAGAGCAGAUAAAGGCAAAGGGAUUCUACCAACGCCACCAAGACAAACAGAGGAGGAAGAGAGUCAGAGCUCACCAUGGGUCAACAAGCAUAAUCAUUAUCAGUUACCUUACUCGAAGCUGGAUUUCCCCUUUUUUAACGGAGACGACCCUCGAAGUUGGAUCGAGAAUUGCGAGCAAUAUUUUGAAUUAUAUCAAAUACCCCAGCAUCAGUGGUUAAGUGUGGCAACCCUACACUUGAUCGGCAAGGCAAGGACAUGGAAACAAGGGUAUUUUAUCAACAAACAACUCGUUUCUUGGGACGAGUUCACUAAGGCCAUAUGUAGAAAAUUUUCGCAAGCGGGCGAGAGGUAUUUAAUUCGAGAAUUUAGUAACUUGAAGCAUACGGGGACUUGUGAAAAGUACCAAGAAAGGUUCGAGGAGUUGAGGUUCCAACUGCUCCAUUACAAUCCUCAUUUAUCGGAAGAAUAUUUUAUUGCUUGCUAUAUUAAUGGACUGAAGAAGAGUUAGUUCCGUUUCUCGACAUUGCUCACCCGAACACACUAGAGGAAGCAUAUGAGCAACCGCAGUUACAUGAGAAGGCCAUUGCUGUGAUCAAUCGGAAGAAUAGAUAUAUUCCCAAGACCUAUCAAUCCAACUCGCUGUAUAAGAGUUCGGAGGGGAGCAAGUAGCCAACCCAAAGUCAGAACAAGACUCCGGUAAAUCCCUAUCCGAUCAACAAAUAAUUAAUUGAACAACGUCGAGCCGCUGGGUUAUGCUUUCGGUGCGGCGACAAAUACCAUCCGGGACACGUGUGUUCCAACAAAUCGUUAAACAUCCUACAAGCUACUAACAAUAUUAUGGAGGUUUAUGAUGAAGAAUGUUUACAAACAGGACAAAGCGAAGGGGCAGCCAAUGGAAGAGAAGGCAAGGAAACUGAAAUCAUACCUGGGGAAGAGGAGCAGCAGGAAAUAGAGGUAUCAGUGCGUGCCUUAAGUGGAGAAAUACCCCAAGAGACCAUUAAGAUAAGGGGUGAAACCAACAAUCGGACUCUUACCAUCUUGAUAGACACAGGAAGCACUCACAGUUUCAUCGACCUGCUAGCAGCCCAGUGUAACGCACUGGACCUUGCAAAUUGUAGGGUUCGAGUGAUUGAGUGUAUUCUGAACUUUUCCAGACUUUCUGGUAGGUCGUUGACUGUGUUCCGACCUAUGGUUCGAGUCCCGAGAAUUGUGGUUUAAAACCUUGCAUCAAAAUCUAAAAAGUUGGAUUUUUGGUCAGCUCUCGGAUAGCCUUCAGCAGGCCGUGUACCGGUACGGGUUCGCUUGCUGUACCGGUACGGGUUCGCUUGCUGUACCGGUACGAGGUUGAUGGCUGUACCGGUACGGGCCCGCGUACCGGUAAACAGGCAGUUUUUCGGCCAAACCCGAGGCUCGGGUUUGCGUUUUCGUGGGUUGUGUACCGGUACACAAACCGGUGUACCGGUACGUAGUGCAGUUUGGGGCUGUUUCGUGGAGGGGUGUUUUUGCAAUUGUUACAACACCUUUAUAUACCACCCCAGCCCCCUUGGCUGCUCUCCUUGAGCUCCAAACAGAGAGAAACAAGGUGAGUCUUCCCCUCUUGGUUUGAUCUCCAUUUUUUGGUGAUUUUUAUGGGUUUUGAUCUUUUUCCCUUCUCUCCUUCUUGCUUUUGUGGGUUUUUUCACCAUUGGAGAAGCUUGGGAUCUUGGUUGGAGCUUGUUUGGAGAUCAACCUUCAACCCUAGAGGACUUGGAGCUUGGUUUUGAGCAUCUUGUGAGGUUAGUAAACUUAAUCUCCCAUUUGGAUUAAGUUUUGAAGGUUUCUUUUGAAUGAAACCCUAGAUUUUGGAUUCUAGGGCUAGAAUUGGGGAUUUUUGAUUUGUAGCUUCUAGAACCAAAUUGAUUGGUUUAGAACUUUGAUUUAGGUUGGAUUUGAAGGAAUCUAACUCCCUUUUGGAGUUCGUGGGGGAUUCCUUAGCGUUCGGUGAGUUUUCUCCAACCUAGCUAGAGAAGCUUAAUGUUUGAGCUUAGCUUUGUUCGUAAGCCUUGUUUGACACUUGUUCCUACAUCCCUAGGGUACUAGGAGACUAGAAGACACCCUCGUUGGAGCAAACGAGGAGUUCCGUUGUCAACUGUGGGUUUGGCUUCUUUGACAUAGGGGGAAAAUGCCCCCUACGUGGUUAAACGUUUUCGUAUACCAUAAAUGCAUGCAUAUUUAUGUUGAGUAGAAUUAUUAUGAAUUUUUGGAUGCUUAAAACGCCACCAUUAUGUGUAAUGAAAAUUUCACUCUAUGUAGUAGAGCCAUGUGAAUGACAUACAUGCAUGAGCUAUGUAAUCUGUAAUUGCAACUUGGAAAUAUGUCUCUUAUGUGGGGAAAUGACUAGAAUCAUGCAAUCUUAAGCAUAAUUGCCAUGUUAUGACUUAGUGAGCAAAAGUGUCAUAAAGGGGAACUUGAACUAGAAAACGGUUGAAACUGCAACUUAGAGACAUAAUGUUAAGCCAUUGUACAUCUGCUAUAUACUCCAUGUAGAGACAUGAUGACAUAGAGAUAGACCUUUGGGACAUUCGAUACAUUCCAUGUUAUUAGACAUGAGAACUGGGUACUUGUGACAGGACAUAUGACUACUUGCUAUUGUGCUCAUUCGCACAUGCUUGUGAGGGUCGCUCCCUACAAGUCGGCACUCCGGAGAUGACCAUCGCGAUUUAUAUUCGCCGUGCGGGAUUCGGCGCCAAAGUGGAUUGCCGUGAGCCAGGCUCAUUCCUAGGGUGGGGAUGAUGACUACCACGGGGCCACUAGGCUCGGCAUCGGCCAGACAGCCUACGGGUGGGUCUCAGGGCCAUAGACAGUCUUCGGGUGGGUCUCUUCGGAUUUGACUUUGAGUAUCCACUAUGACAUGUGGACAGAUGAUGACUUAGUAUAUUGACUGGACAUCGACUAGAAUAGUAAACAACGACAUCUUUACUAAUUGCAUUGAGGACAUCGCAUUGGUUGCAUACCUAUGGGUAUUCAUGUAUACACAUCCAUGUACAUUUAUGUUAUAGUUGCUUACUAUUAUGCCUAUCAUGCUAAGUAGAGACAUCUGGUUAUAGUAAGUUAUACUUUUACUUACCUUUCGCUUUAUUGCUUUUAUAGCUACUUACCACUUUCUUUGUAGCUUUGGGCCUUGUGGUGCAUUCACUGAAGUCAGUAAUUGCCCACUGGGAACUAUUUUUAAUAGUUCUCACGCCUUCUUUUUUGUGGUUUCUUUCAGAGCCUUCUGCACCGGCGGAGGCACGGGAUCGCGGCAAGGGGAUCGCAUAACUAGCUAGCGAGGAGCGGUUCUUUGCCUAGAUGGUUUGCUUUUUCUUUUUGUAGUUGAGAGAGUGAGAGAUUUUGUAUCCAUGUAUAGAGACCACCUAUGUAUCUACUUUUAGCACUUGUAUUUGGAAUUUUCUUUGUAUUACUUUAUGCUUUUAUUAGUGGAUUCCAGCUUUAUGCUCUUUUCUCUAUUGUAGAACUUAGUAUUAUAUCAUGCUCUGAUACUCCUAGUUGUCUUUUAUUACCGCUUUAUUUAUUGUUGUUUUUAGACGCCUUAUAUGUUUUAGACGUAUGGCGGGUCUGGGCACGCGCUGGGCGGGCUUCCGCUGGGUCCCGGGGCGUGACACCCAGGAGGUAGGAGCACGGAUGGAAGUAGCUCUACCCCUGAUAGUGACAGUAGCAAACGGGCACAAGGUUUUGAGCAAAUUAAGAUGCCCUGGAUUCACUUGGACUAUGCAGGGACAAACUUUUCGAACGGACUUGAGAGUGAUCAGGAUCGAAGGCUCUAACAUGGUACUUGGAAUUGAUUGGUUAAAGUCUUAUGGAGUGGUGACUUUCGAUUUCGUAUCCAACUCGGUGGCGAUCAGUAAAGAUGGACAGAAGUUAGAGCUAAAGGGGAUUGCGGAAGGGGCUAGAUUAAGUCUAAUAUCUGCAGCUCAGUGGAGGCAAGAAGCAGAGAAAGGAGAAUGUUAUCUCCGCAGGCACCAAUCAACACCAAAAGAUAAUGAACAGGAUGCUGACCUACUUCCGGAGAUCCAAAGGGUGCUGGAUAAAUUUCAGGAUGUGUUCGAGGAGCCAAGGGAGUUACCUCCAAUCCGCAUUCAAGACCAUAAAAUUCCUCUACAGUCUAACACAGCUCCGAUUAACGUUAGGCCCUAUCGGUACUCGCAUGAUCAAAAAGAGGAGAUCGAAAAACAAAUAAAGGAGUUAUUGAGCCACAAGAUUAUUCAGCGGAGCAAUAGUCCUUUCGCCUCACCCGCUUUAUUGGUUAAGAAAAAAGAUGGGAGUUGGAGAAUGUGUAUAGAUUAUCGCCAGCUUAACAAAUGCACGGUGAAGGACAAAUUCCUUAUACCAAUUAUAGAUGACUUGCUUGAUGAAUUGGGCGGAUCGAAGUAUUUUUCCAAGAUAGAUCUCAGAUCGGCAUAUCAUCAGAUCCGGAUGAAUCCGGGGGACAUUCAUAAAACGGCAUUCCGGACGCAUCAAGGGCAUUAUGAGUUUCGAGUCAUGCCGUCCGGCCUAACGAACGCACCCGCGACGUUUCAAGCCGUAAUGAACUAUACCUUCGAGUCAUACUUGAGGAAAUUCAUCCUGGUUUUCUUUGAUGACAUUCUAAUCUACAGUAAGAACAUUGAGGAUCAUGAACAACAUCUGCGCAUCGCUUUGGAAGAAUUGAGAAAGAAUAAAUUUUACGCCAAACGAAGUAAGUGCUAUUUUGGGCAGAACCAGGUGGAGUAUUUAAGUCACAUAAUAUCUGACGAAGGGGUAGCCACCGAUCCAUCCAAAAUUGAAGCGAUGAUUAAUUGGCCGGUACCAAAAUCUAUGAAGGAAUUGCGUGGAUUCUUUGGACUUACCGGAUAUUAUCGAAAAUGCAUAAAGGGAUAUGGAAAGAUUACCAAGCCUUUGACUGAGUUGUUGAGAAAGGAUCAGUUCGACUAGAAGGAAGAAGCACAAGUAGCUUUUGAAGAAUUAAAGUUGGCUAUGACAAUGGCUCCAGUACUCGCUAUGCCUAACUUUGGUGAACCCUUCACGAUAGAAGCGGAUGCUUGCGGCAUAGGGAUAGGGGCAGUACUGUCCCAAGGAGGAAGACCCAUUGCCUAUUUGAGCAAGGCUAUUAGCGGGAAGCACCUGGGAUUAUCAACUUACGAAAAAGAGUUCUUAGCGAUACUCAUGGCGGUUCAAAAGUGGAAGCAUUAUUUAGGUACAGGUACAUUUGUGAUUAAAACAGAUCAUGAAAGCCUAAAACACCUACUCGAGCAAAGGAUAUCCACCCCGAUGCAGCAGAAGGGCAUGCUUAAGAUGAUGGGGCUUAAUUACACGAUUCAGUAUAGGAGGGGUAGAGAAAAUGCGGCAGCCGAUGCACUAUCCAGAAGAGAAGAAGGGGGAGUUGUAUUGGCAAUCUCAGCGGCAGUACCAACUUGGGUACGACAGGUGGCGGAAAGUUACAAGGGGGAUCCAUAUUGUGAGGGGAUAAUAAAAGAGCUAACGUUGCGGCCAGACACCCCAGGAUAUUACUCCUAUGGCAAUGAGUUGCUACGCUACAAAGGGAGGCUCUAUGUUGGGCAGACUGGACCUAUACGGAAGAAAGUUUUAGAUCAAAUGCAUAAUUCUGCCUUGGGAGGCCACUCCAGAAUCCAGAACACCUAUAGGAGAGUUAAGCAACAUUUUUUUUGGCAAGGAUUAAAAAAGGAUGUGGAAGAUUGGGUCAAGGGGUGCACUGUUUGUGCUCAGAACAAAGUGGAUGGAACACCAUACAGUGGAUUGUUGCAGCCGUUGCCUAUUCCUCACCAAAUUUGGGAGGACGUAAGUUUGGAUUUCAUUGAAUCAUUACCUAAGUCAGAGGGGCGCGAUACAAUAAUGGUUGUAGUUGACCGGCUCACCAAAUAUGCUCAUUUCAUAUCUCUUAAACAUCCCUUUUCAGCAUCGGAUGUUGCUAAGGCCUUUAUGGGAACCAUCUAUAAACUGCACGAUUGUCCCAAGAGUAUCGUUUCCGAUAGAGACAAGAUAUUCGUGAGUCAGUUUUGGAAGAAGCUUUUCCAAUCCAUAGGAACCAAACUGCACAUGAGUUCGGCGUAUCAUCCGGAAACUGACGGGCAAACGGAGAGGGUCAACAGGUGCUUGGAAACCUAUUUGAGGUGCUUAUGUUUUCAGCACCCAAAAAAGUGGCAUUCUUGGUUAGCGCUAGCCGAAUGGUAGUAUAAUACAAACUUACACUCGUCAUUGGGAAUAACCCCAUACGAGGCGUUAUAUGGGCAACCUCCGCCAAAUUACCUGGUGGCCGCUGUGGAUACAGCUACCUCGCAGGAGUUUAAAGGGUGGGCUACAGAGAGAAAGAAGCUGACUAGAGAAUUAAGGGAUCGAUUGCAAAUAGCACAGAGCAGGAUGAAGCAACAGGCAGACAAGCAUAGGGUGGAGAAGGAGUACUCGGUGGGAGAUUGGGUUUACCUUAAACUACAGCCCUAUCGGCAAACCACGGUGGUGAUAAGGAAAAAUAUUAAGCUUUCUUCAUGAUUUUUUGGUCCCUUUAAGAUACUGGAGCGUAUCGGGCCAGUCGCGUAUAGGCUAGAGUUACCAGAAGGGUCAAGGAUUGACCCGGUGUUCCAUGUUUCUCUGUUGAAGAAGAGUCCCCCAUCUUCAAUUCAGGCAUCUCUGACGGCACCAUCUAUCGGGGAAGAGGAUAAGUUGCGGGUCGAACCAGAGGAAAUACUUGAGAGGCGGACGGUGACGCGCGGAAACAUGGCCGCGACCGAAGUUUUGGUGAAAUGGGCAAAUCUUCCAAGGGAGCUCGCAACAUGGGAAGAUCGUGGGUUCCUCAAAAGCCAAUAUCCAUCUUUUGAUCCUUGAGGACAAGGAUCGACUUAAGUAGGGGGGAUUGUUACACUUGUCAAGUAGUAAAGGAGGAUUAGGAGCAGUAGUAGGAGGUUUAGCUAAAAUAAUGAGAAGAAAGGAGGCUUAGCUUUUCUCUGCUUCAGGUCUCCGGUUGGGGGAAGCGUCGGCCGUCAGCUUGGGAGCGUGGAGGGCGUCGGUAGGGUGAAGGUCGCCGGUGGAGGAGAAAAGGGGUGAGAGAAGCGGGGAGCGAAGAGGUCGAUCCGAGCAAGCCGACAAGGGACUUAGAGCGUUCGACGAGGCGACUCAAGUUCCAGACGGUUCUGGCGGAUUCGGGCGUAUGGCGGAUUCGGGCACAAGGAUGGGAGCGACUGAUCCAAUAUGUCUUGGGAGCGGGCCGGAGAAUAAGCCCAUGUGGGAAUUUGGGCAGCAGAUAGUAGGUUUAGGGAGUUCAAUUAGAAUUAGGGUUUGUUUUAGGUGAAUAAAAGGGGCAGCGUGUAACAGAAGGUUUUUUUUAUGCGAAUUAAUGAAAUUUUCUUCUUCCUCAUCAACUCCUAAUUUCUCUUAAUCUUUCUUCUUCUUCUUAAUUUCCCCAUUCAUCUCCUUCCCUCUGUCUUCCCCCCUCUAUUCUCUCUUCAUCUUCUUUAUUAGAAUAGCUCGAUUCUGAUCUGAUUAAUCCGAGUCAGGCAGUUACGGGAACCAUCAUCCUUGACGCCGUCCUUCGUCUCAGCGAGAUUUCAUCAUCGACGGGUUGCGCCGAGUCAGGUACGUAACACCCACAUAUAGCGACACUUUCAUAUAGUGUCGCUAAUUUAGCCAGCAACACUUUUUUUUAUCUGUACCUAUAUUUAAAAGUGUCGCUAUAUAAUAUUUUUGUUAUAGUGACGCGACCGCAAACAGUACUUUUACUAAAUUAAUUUUCAAACCAAAUUAAGCAUGCCCGCUAACUUGCCACUCCUUUUUUGCCCUAUUUAUACAUCCCUAUGUAGCGUGGACAUAUCACACACUCACACACACCCUCCCUCAAUAUUAGCUAAAGAGAUUUAUAACUAAAGGUGUCUGUGGACCGAGUCGGGUCGGGAUAGUUAAUAUACUAUAUCCGUACCCUAAAAAAAAUUGGUUAGAAAAAAAAAUAUAUAUAUAUACCCUAUCCAUUUAACUUCAGGUCGGAUCCGGAUCUGGAUAUUUAAGUUACUAAUAUACCCGUCGGGUCUAUUUGGGCGGAUCUAGGUAGUGACUACCCUCCGUAUACUAUCCCUUUAAGAUCGGGUACUGGUCGGAUCUAAAUCGGGUACGGGUACCCGUAUACAUAUAUUUUUUUAUAAACUUUAUUAAAUAGUAUGUGGACAAACUAUAAAUCUUUCCUUAUAAAGAGAAUAUAAGUUAUAAUAAUUAUUAAUAUUACAUACUAACAUUAAAAACAAUAAAAAAAUAAAGAAGAAUUUGAAAAUUUACUAAAUAGAAUAUUCAUUAGAAAAAACUAAGUUGUCGACUUUGAUUGGAAAAGGAAUUUGGAAAAAACUUACUUGUGCAAUGCCUAUGAGGAGUAAUAUCGCUAAUGAUGAUAACGAUGUAAAUAUUAGUUCAUAAAAAACUCAUAGGCGAAAAUGAAACAAAAAAAAUAAUAAGUAAGAAAUAAAGAGUAAAAAAAAAAAAGAAAAAAAAAGGAGUAAAAGAGCGGCUAAUGUUUCAUUGUUUCACUAAGAUGAAAAUUUUUAGAAACCCUUCAUAUAUAAAUUCUAUUAAAAUUGAUCCUUCAACUUUAAAAGUUCAAAUCUUUUUUAUUUACUAUCGGAUAUUUCAUCGGGUCCGGAUCCGAGUCCGGAUUUGAAAACUAUUCCGGACCCUACCCAUUUAAAAGUUGGGUUCGGGUCGGGUCCAAAUCGGGUAUGGGUAUAAAAUAUCCAGACCUAUGCCCGAAACUUUAAUGGGUAAUUUUCUUUACCCGUAUACUAUCCAUUUUUUAUCGGGUCUGGUUCGGAUCCGGAUAGGGUCCGGAUAGGGUCCGGAUAGGAUAUGGUAUAUCGAAUAUUUUGGACAGCUUUACUUAUAACAAAGAUGUCUCACCCUCGUGCCACCGGCUUUGAUACCACAUGUGGAUAUAACCACAAUUCCAAAAACACAUGUGAUAGAAAGAACACACCCAUCACACUUAAGGGCUCAAGUAUAGCGCUUACGAAUUUCAAUCUGACUCAAUUCAUCUGAACAUUAGAUCUAUUAUUGGGUCUUUUACCGUUAGGUUUAUUGUGGACCGCAACCUCACUUAACUUAUUUAGCUCACCCAAUUCAACUUACUAAUCUUCUAAGUAUGUUGUUAUGGUACAAAAAGCUGAAUAUAUUUUAAUCAACAAUAAAUAAUCAACAGUAGGGACCGUGCGUAGUGGGUCCCUGCUAGAAUUAUUUAGCAUGUGCUACAGGCACUUACUGACAUGCCUAGCUAAUUUAAUAGCUGGUCCCCGUGUUAAUGGUUUGGGCCAAAUCAUGUGCCUUCUAAACAAUUGGAGAAGUCAAAAAUGGGUUUUUAUUGAAUUGAUUAACCAAAACCUAAUCCAUCAAUUUUUUUUCUUAAUUAUAUAUAGAAUAUUAUGUCGAAAUGAGUCAUGAGUUGUUAGCACAAACUUCUAAUUUAAUGCAAGAUGACUUAAUGGGUAUUAAAAAUAAGGUUAUUUUUGAAUAACGGAGAUAUAUCCGAAGGUAUAUUGGAAAUAAAAAAUAGGAUUAAUUACAUACAAGUUCCUAUAAAUAUAGUAAAUUGUAAAUAUAUGUACAAAAUUCAAUUUUUAUAUAUUGUCCCUACAAAAGUCCUAAUUAAUAUUUUCAAAAAUAUUCUUACUGUUAAAAUUUGUUAGAAAAUUUUAUUUAACUAUAGGUUAAAUACUUAACCCUGCUUAGUUUAUGAGAUAAUUUGACAUUUUUACUCCUUUUAUAUUAUACUGUUGUGAUGGCAAAAUUGUAAAUAUAAAUAGUUCUCUAAUGGUGACAAAUCAGAAGGUAUAUUUAAAAAUAUUAGAACUUUUGUAGGAAUAAUAUAUAAAAGUUGAAUUUUUUUAAAAUAUAUUUAUAAUUUAAUAUAUUUGGAGGGACCUGCAUGUAUUCAAGCCUAAAAAAUAUAGAAGUAUAUAAAAUAUUUUAAAAAUUUUUAGACGUAUGUAGGUAGUUAUACUUUUUUUUUAACUAAAUUUUCAAAGGUCGGAAUUAAAUACUCCUUUCAAACAGGAGAGUAAUCAAAUCUACAUUUUUAUUUGAUAAAAAAAAAACACAAUUGUAGAAAAGUCAUUGGUGGAAGAGUCAUCCCAAAACAUGCGAGUUCACAUGGUGUGAAUUCUCGAUUUUUCCACGUGAUGUUAUGAGGCUUUCAAUUUCUUUUUCACUUUUUUUUUUUAAAAAAAAAUCCAAUCCUUAUCUCGAAUUAUUUACCAUCCAAAGCCGUUGAUCGAAGCCGGCCUUUUCAUAGUCUUAAAAGGAAAAAACGAAGAGCUUUCAAACUAAAAUAUAAAAUGUUGCUUUUAGCUACCAUAUUAUCAUAUUAGGUUUUAAUAUGUCUCUAGUUAAUUUGGAGUUAAAAUGGGACACGUACUGAUAUAUUUGUGACGUCCCACUUUUCAAGAGUUCAUCCAUUCUAGCUAGAACUAUUACUGUAGUCCUAACACGCUUAAUUCUUUUAUUCAUUUCUCGAAUCUGACCAUCACUCAAAAUACUAUAAUCGGAUUAACACUAGUUUUUAACCCUAUUAUAUAUUAUAUAUAAGAUUACCUGGGGCCGACCUUUUUAAGUCCUGACGUCUCCGUCAAGCUCAAACUCACAAAUAUUAGACGAUUUGAAACUCAUAUCGCUAGUCUUAACCGACCUUGUGGGGAAACCGCACUCUGCUCAUAACAGUCAUUAGCAUGAGAGACGUCUAGCUCUUCCUGCUGUUUAAUCUGGCUCAACCGAGAUUCAUCUCGCACUUUCGGCUGGUAAUUAUUUCUGAUACCAACUGUAACGCCCCCUUCCUAUGGGAUCACCCAUUAUAGAAUUGCUCAAGUAUUAGCACGCUUAACUUUCUUAAUCUUUUAGAUCUAUCUACCAUUCAAAAUGUCAUAGGUGGGUUAAAAAUUUUAGUCCUAUUAUAUUGUAUAUAUAAAAUUGUGGAAAAACUUCAAAAAAACCCCCUGUGGUUUCAUUGUUUCUCACUUUAGUACCCUGUCGUUUAAAGUGUAUCAAUUUGCCCUCAUGUGGUUUCGUUUUUAUCUUUUCGGUAGCUUUUUCGUUAAUAUUUCAUUAAAUUAUAUACAAAAAACUUUAUAUACCCAUCUAGAUUUAUCAAGUAUUCACUUUAGUACCCUUUAAUUUUAACUUUAUCACUGAUUUAAGAAAAAAAAUAAUAAAAUUGAUAAGAAAAAGAGAAAAAAGAAACCACAGGGGGGCAAAUUGAUACAUUUUAAACAAUAGAGGGGCAAAGUGAGAAACUACGAAACCACAGAGGGGUUUUUGAAGUUUUCCUUAAAAUUAUUUGGGUUCUCACAAUUUUUAUGUUGUACAUCUUUGCUUCCUGGCCAGAGCUUUCGCUCCCCCACACAGUAGGGCGAUGAAAGCUCAGAUAUAGCGAUCGACAAAAUAGAUAUGCAGUAUCAAUUUCGUCCAACUUCUAAUUAAUCCAGCUUCUCCCGUUGAUAAAAAGAUUCAUAGUUUUUCUUGGAUUAAUUCUACAAAACUAAGAUCUUCUAGUGAAGAUCAUGACCUAGCUUUCUAAAAGUUCUACUAAGUAUGGCCUUGUUUGUUAACAAGGUGAGUAAAAAUACUAAUUAAUUUUAUAUUAUAAAGAAUUUUUUAAAAAAUGUUAUCUAUAGGAUUAUACAUCUAAUACACUUAGAUUCAAAGGUUCAUCAUACUUCUUUAAGGUUUUAGUAAAAAUAAACAAAUUAUAAGACAAGUGAACAGAUCGGCCACAAAAAGAAGAUCAGGCAUAAAUUUUACACCUAUGUUAUAGUUGUACAAGUAGUAUUAUUUAAAAUAUCAUAAAACGAUGUUUUUACCCAUCGCAUUACAAACCACGACGGUAAACAGUAUUUGUACUAAAUUUUUUGUUUUUUUUGAGAGAUGUACUAAAUUAAUUUUCAAACCAAAUAUUAAGCAUGCCCACUAACUUGCCACUGAUCCUUUUUUGCCCUAUAUAUACGUCCCUAUGUCGUGUGGCCAUCUCACACACACACACACACACACACCUCCACCUCAAUAUUAGCUAAAGAGAAUUAUAACAAAGAUGUCUCACCCUCGUUAUCUUCUACUGCCCUUGAAUUUGAUCACCAUCACCUUAGCCUUGCUCUCUCAAAGAUCUCAAGCCCAGCUGAGCCCCUCCUUCUACGACUGCACCUGCUCCGACGUGUCGGCGAUCGUUCGCAGCACGGUGCAGCAGGCGCAGACCUCCGACCCCCGCAUCUACGCCAGCCUCACUCGCCUCUUCUUCCACGAUUGCUUCGUCCAAGUAACUUUCUUUUAGUUAUAUAUAUAUGUAUUUCACUUCUUUUCCUAUUCUAAUCUCAAAAUCGAGAACUUAUAAGUUGUACAUGAAGAAACAUCGAGUUAAUGUCCUAAUUUCGACAUUAAUAUGCACCACAUAUAAGUUAGUUAGGAUAUAUAGUACUCCCCGUACUAUGCGUUUACUUUUUUUCUUUUUUUUUUUGAGAGAAAUAUAACAUGCUACCGCUUUAUUCAGUAAGAAAAUGAAUUUAGUAAUAAAGUGAAGUAUCGUGGCUUUGUAAGAGAUCGAAAAAAAAAAAAAAAUCACUAAACACAAUAAUUAAUGAUCCCAUAUAUUCUUGAGUGCGUAUACUAAACACAAUAAUGUCUAUGCGUUACUUUUUAUUUAAAUAUUUUGGUCUCUGAACUUGUAUGCAUAUUGUGCUUUCAGUGGCAAUAAUCAAGAAGUUUUAUUUUUAUGAAUUAUUAUUUUAAUCCUUUUGUAUGCCUAACUUAGUUUAGUUUGCUCUAAUCAAGAUUAUGAUGCUAUCAAUUUUACAACUAAAAUCAAAUAUGUUCUUUUUAAUAUUCAAGAAAUGAAAGUAUAGCAUGUGUGUACAGAAACUAAAGUGUGCAAAUAAUUAAUGAAGGUUAGUACCAAUUUGCAAUAUUCUACCCUAAAAUUUUUUUAGGUUACUUAUAGAAAUACUGGAUUUCUUCAUCGACAAACUUGUUUGAUCAACUUUUAGGGUUGCGACGGGUCGAUUUUGCUGGUCGAUAGUUCGACGAUUCAGAGCGAACAGGAUGCGCGACCAAACAAGAACUCGGCUCGAGGUUUCAACGUCGUCGACGACAUCAAGACGGCCGUGGAAAAUGCUUGCCCAGGAGUCGUCUCCUGCGCCGACAUUCUCGCUCUCGCUGCUGAAGCUUCAGUUAACUUAGUAAGCCAUUUUUUCCAUCUCUCUCUCUCUCUCUUCGAGUCUCUAUAAUGGAUUCUCAAUAUUCGUACAGAUGUAUCGAUACGAAGUUUUAUUUAUCAAAUAUAUUCCUCCGGAGGUGCAUAGCCUACAAAUAUAUUUCUCUGUUAGUUAACCAGUAAAAAUUAUUUUUUCUACAAAAUAUUUUUAAUUAUAUUUUAACCUUAUUUAUCAUUUUUGAUAUUUUUAUUUUAACUUUCUUAAUUUGUUGGAUUUUGCACUGAUGUACUAGUCACCAUAUCUCUCUAUGGAUCUCUGAAAACAAGUGGUAAGAAGGUGACAGGAAGUACUUCUCCUUAAAAUGAGAUAUAAUUCAUUUUCAAAGCUGCAACCACUUUUUUAUGAACUUGGUCUUGUUACUUUAUUAUCUUUUGACUGGUGAACAAGUGAAAAAUUUAUUAUCGGAACUGUGAAGAGAAUUGAUAGUUCUAAUAAACAGGCUAAAUUAUAAAAUAAUAAAUUAAUUUUUAUCUUGUAUCUUAUUUCCAUCUCAAAGAGAUCCAAUUUUAAAAUAAUUGUUUAAUUCUGCUUUAAAAUGUUAUAGUUUUAGUAAAAUUUACCUCUAUCAACUUAUUUUGGUAAAAUUUUACAAUCAAAUAUAAAAAUUAUAUAUUCCAACGUUUGGGAUGUUUUGACACAACAAUAAAGUGUAGGGGAAAGUUAAUGCAAUUUUUAAUACAAGAAGGUAUAUUUAAGAAAUGAGCUAAAGUGAACAAAAAGAUUUCGUAAUCUAGGGUAAUAAAUUAAUAUGCCGACAUAUAUAGCUUGUAGACACUCAACUUCUUAAUGAGGAUUAGUUAGGAGAAGGUAUUUUAAUGAGGGUUAGUUAGGAUAAGGUGAUUUGACAAGUUCUUGGUGCAAUUAAUAGCACUAAGCACUUGGUGCUAUCAAGUUUUCCGCCGUUAGAUCUAUCAUUUUGACAAUUUCCACCAAUUAGAUCAUACUAUUCAAUAACCAUCCACUCAAUUCUAAGGCUUCGUUUGGUUCGCGGUUAAGUAAGAACUAGUUAUUCUAGUGAUAGGGUUAAGUUCAGGGUUAAACCUAGAAUAGAUCAAUUUUGUUUUUGGAUGAUAAUUAAGCUGUUCUUGGAAUUAAGAAAAAUAGAGUUUGGAUAGAUAAGGUGGAAUAAAAAGAAUAGUAGGUAGCUAUAAAUAAAAAAUAAUGAUAUUACCCCAAUUAUUAUAUUUGAAUUUAAAUUUUUUUUAUUUCAUAUUUAAUUUUCAAAUUUAAAUAGAUAACUUUUACAAUUAAAAAUUUAAAUUAAUAUCUAUAUUUUUAAAUCUCAAAUUUAAAAAUUUAAAGUUAUAAAUUUUAAUUUUAAAUUUUAAAUCAAAUCUAACAAAUAUAAAAUUACAAAUAUAAAAUAUCAAAUUUAAAAUUUAAAUAAUUAAAAUAAUAAUUUAAACUUUAAAAUUUCAAUAAUUAAAAUAACAAUUUAAAUUUUAAAAUUCAAAAUUAAAAUCUAUAUUUUUAAAUCUCAAAUUUAAAAAUUUAAAGUUAUAAUUUUUAAAUUUUAAAAUUUAAAUCAAAUCUCAAGUUACAAAUAUAAAAAGUUAAUUUUAAAAUUUAAAUAAUUAAAAAUAAAAAUUUGAAACUUAAAAUUUUAAAAAAUCAAUAUAAAUUUUAAAAUUUAAAAUUAUAUAAUUUUAAAAUUUAAAAUUUAAAAUUAUAUUUAAAAAUUAAAUAGGGGUGGGAACCCCUGUUCCAGGGGUGGGAUAGGGUAACUCCACCCCAAAUGGGUUAUCGCGAAUAAUCCAUUUGGGGUGACAUUAACUAAUCCCACCCCCUAAAAAUUGUGUUUGGGGUUAAAUAGGGGGAUAACCCCUUCAUCCCCCUCUUUAAUCCCGAACCAAACGAGGACUAAGGGACCACUAUCAUACUAACCGAACAUCCCUUCAUCUAAAUUAAGGGCUAAAACCUAAUAGCACAAAUGACUUGGUACUAUUAAUAGUAUAGUAGUCUAAUUCUAAAUAUAUGUACAUAUAUAUAGCCCUGUGACCAUUUCAACUCCUUAGAUCAUACUAUUCCAUCAGCCAAUCACUAAACUCUGAGGAACCGCUGUCAUCCUAGCUAACCGCAUUUCUUCAUCCACGAGGCGAAAACUUUCACCUCCCUACAUCGUAAUUGACUUCGACCUGCGAUAAGCAGAAGUUUUUUAUUUUUUAUCUUUUUUUUUGAGAGAUAGGUAGCACGCUAGCUGCUUCGUUUAUUUCAUUUAGAAAUAAAACUUGGCUGGAAUUGUGAAUCAACUAGGAUUCGAACUUGGGUCUCGGGUACCAACCUCCAAGCCCUUUGCCACUUGCUCUAGGGACGGUCGGUACGGGCCAAAAACCUUAAUACCAAUGACUUCGUGCUAUUAGCAGUAUUCUAGCCUAGUUCUACACACACAUACACCUUGUUGUGUGCUAUUAUGAAUAUUUUUGUGAAACAAAUAUAGAAAGUGGAGAGCAUAAGUUUUGAAGCCACUAAAUGAAUAACGGUUAAAAAAAAUAACUUUUACCAGAACUUUAAUUCGAUUAAAAGUCAUUUUCAACCUAUAAAAUAGUUACAAGCACAAACAACUUGGACCCUUCUAGUGGAGUUGAGCUUGAGCUAGGCUUAUUGAACAUCUGACCAACUUAGGCCCCCUAUGGUACUGAGGGUUGUUUAAUGCUAUUGGAUAAAAAAGAUUGCUAGGGCAAAAUCAUAUAAACAUAUGCUACCCCAUUUUAUACGGACAAUGAAAAUUAUAUAUUGUAUCUGGAUCAUUGCAUUUACAGCGUGAUAUCUUUUAUGCAAAUAAUGAAUGAUAUAUUUUUUCAUCACACUUUCUGUCUGUACAUAAUGCAUCGUCCAUUUAUUCCAAAUAGAAACUUAGAUGGUUAAUGAUCCAAGAUAAAACGAUUGUCUUUUUUAAAAUUUGUUAUUCUUUUUAAUCCUUGGGUUGGAGUGCAACUAAUUUGUAUCAUAAUAAUAAUUGUAAUAGGCCGGGGGACCGUCAUGGACUGUGUUAUUGGGGAGAAGGGAUAGCACCACUGCAAACUUCACUGCAGCCGGCAAUCUCCCCGGCCCCUUCGAUAACCUAACCACUCUCCAAAAGAAGUUCUCCGACGUCGGCCUCCAUGACAUCGAUCUCGUCACAUUAUCAGGUAUCUGCAUAAUCAUCAAAUAUCAACACUUUGUUCUAUUACUGUCGUUGUUCUCAUUCAAUUUCUCUACUCGAAAUGCAAAAGUUAAACGUUCUAAAACAUACACACAAAACUGGAAGAAAUUAUGGUUUGUUUAGCUCCCAGUAAAUUAAGCCCUAAAAAAUUUUAGAACUUCUACUUUCGCCAAGUGGCAUUGCUGGGUGUUGCCAUAUAGUAAUGAGUUGUUUGCUUGAUCAUGUAUUUAAUAGACUCAAAAUCAAGAUCAUGUCUUCUGAAUUUCUUUACAACUCAGUGCAUAAGAAAAUUUUAUGCACGAGACGAACCUGCCGCUCAUCGAGGGUAGAAUUUAUAAACCUAUUUUAAAGUGAGACAUGAACUCCUAGCUAGCUCAAUGUAGAAUGCGUAGUUGCAACUAUGACAGAACGAAAAAGUAAGUGGAUUUUUCUUUCUUUUUCUUUCUAUUCUUUGUAGGUAGUUAGUGAUGUUCUCUUAUGCAUUCACUUUCGUCGAUAACAGGAGCUCACACAUUCGGCCGAGGCCAAUGCCAGUUCUUCAGCAAUAGUCGGCUCUACAAUUUUAAUGGCACCGGGAAACCAGACCCGACCCUAAACUCAACCUACCGAACUAUACUGGAGCAAAACUGCCCCCAAGGUGGGAACGGAUCGGUCCUGAACAAUCUCGACCCGAUCACACCGAACAAGUUCGAUGGCAACUACUAUAUAAAUCUACAGAACCACAGAGGGCUUUUCACAUCCGACCAGGAACUCCUGUCGGAUCCCAACGCGACGACGACCGCCUCGAUUGUAAACAAUUUCGCCGGCAACCAGCGCGCAUUCUUCAAUAGCUUCGUGCAGUCGAUGAUCAAAAUGGGGAAUAUUAGUCCCUUGACAGGGAGCAGUGGGGAGAUCAGAACCAACUGCAGUGUGGUGAAUAGUGGAUCCGGUUUGGAAUUGCAUAUUCAGAUUCGACACGAUUCAGACACGGGUUCAGCUGCAGAAUAAGAAAUUAAAAGAUAGGGUAAAUUGCAUGUUUGGUGCUCAACUAUGAGGUGGGUGACUUUUUGGUCCUCGAUCUUUAAUUUGUUGCAAUUUCUGUCACAAACUUUCCGAAUUAUCACAAGCAAGUCCUGCAACCCAAUUUAAUUAAUUAAAUAUUCAUAUAUCGCUAAAGUAGAAGUGAUAUAGCAUUGAUGUGAUUGACAAUACAUCAAUAAUUAAGAUGACACAUCACUUUUACAUCAGCGAUACAUCAACAUUUAAUUAACUAAAUUAGAUCGUAGAAUUUGAUUAUAAUAAUUCUAAAGGUAGAAGCCAGAAAUUACAACAAAUUAUAAUUUGAGGACUAAAUGGUCACCGGCUUCAUAGUUUGAGGACAAACAUGCAAUUUAUGGUAAGAAAUAUACAUGGUUGCUGAACUUAAAUCUAAAUUUCGAACUCUUUGUGAUCACAAUAAUAUGAUUUGAGACAUAUCCUCCUUUUUCUCUCUCUCUUCUAUCUCUUGCUCUCUUUCGUAUCUUACUUUUUCCUUAUCCACAACUGUACUCUAAUAAUGCGAAAAAAAAGUCUAAAAUAGAACAGUCGCAUAGAUAAUGUGGUAUUUGUUGGAUUGUUCGUGCUAACCAUUAAUUCCAAAAGCACUACAACAGAAUUAGGUUAUAGGGACACAUAUUUAGGACACUUUUGAGUAAGUAUCUCAUUUAUGCUAAAACUUAAAAACACAUCUACUAAUGCCUAAAUAUAAAGCCCAAUCCAACCAAAAAUAAAAGAUUACUCUACUAAACCCACCACACCCAGUCCAUUUGGCCCGAUUACAAACAGAAAAGAAAAAAAAAAAAGAAAAAUUAAUUACCAUCUUUUCUUCUCUCUUCACUUAAUCCACUGAAAUUCUAGACGAAGAGCCUUUACUGUCGUCCUCCUCCGCCACCGCAGCCAAUGAGAUAGAGUUUCGGUGGUUGCUAAAUGCUUAAAUAAGUAUUGAUAAAUUAGCAGCACUCUUUUAGGUUAUAGCGACACUCUUUAACUGUCACUAUAUACCUAGCGACCCCACAUAUAGCAACAAUUUUUAAAAGUGUCGGUAAUUUUAGCUAGCAGCACUUUUUUGACAUGUACCUAUAUUUAAAAGUGUCGCUAUAGACCAUUUUUGUUGUAGUGAAGCUCGAACUGUUAGAAAUACGCAAUCAAUUCACUUAAAGCGUACAGAUACAGCGCCCAUGGAUCUCGAUUGUGACUCGGUCCAACCAGCCUUAUGUCAUUUCGAACAUGACUCCGCCUACAUGACCUCCCGCCGUAGAAUAGGAUGCUGGCCCAUUUAAACCAGCAAUAUUAUCUUCAACCAAUCACAUUUGAACCCUAGAACUCACUCAUGAUUCGAUCACGGGGUUUUAGAAAAAUAUUUUCUUUUGUAUUUUUCAAUAAAGUAUGGUCUCACCUUGCUUUCAAUAAAGUAUGUUUUUCCUCAAGUACGAGUGCCCUCACCUUUCUUUCAAUAAAGUAUGGUCUCACCUUUCUUUCAAUAAAGUAUGUUUUUCCUCCAGUGCUAGAGUCCUCACUUUUCUUUCAAUAAAGUAUGUGUGUGUGUGUGUGUGUGUGUGUGUGUGUGUUUUAUAUAUCGUUUCUCCCAUUUCUUCUCACAAUAAACAAGAUGCAUAGGCUUUCAUCAUGCUCUCUCGAUCUCUUUCCAUUAUGGUGCCUUAUCUUAAUCUACUCGUUGUCCCCCGUUGAUCGAAGCACUAGUUUGGUCAUCAUAUUGUCGAGCACUAGUUUGGGCAUCGUGAUCAGUAUUCUAAUCAUAGUGGUCCGCGGUGGAUUCAAUAAAAGUGAUGUCGCUCACCAGCUGGGUGACUGCUUCCAUGGGUGUGUUUGAUUCGCUCAUUUUUCACACUCUUAAAUUAGAAUUGGAAUAAACGAAUCUGUUUGUUCGUAUUUGGUAUAUAAGAUUUUCAUUCUAAUUUUUAUUUCUCGGUGAAUGCGAAUCCCUUAAUUACUUCUUUUUCCAAUCCGGAUCCGGACGGAAUGGAUUUGUUCGGAUUAAAUUUAAUUUUUUUAAACUUAUUUUUUAAUUAAAAUAUAAGUUCAAGUUUAAAAAUUAUGUUUAUAAAUUUAAAUUUAAAUUUGAACUUAAAUUAAAAAUUAAAAUUCAAUCAAGUAUUUCGAAUCUAAUUUAUAAAUUUGAAUUUGAAUUUAAAUUUAAUUUAAAAUCUAAAAUUUUCUUCCAAUUUUAUUUAAAAUUUAAAUUAAAAUAUAUGAAUUCAAAUUGAAAUUUAAAUUAUAAUUUUAAGUUUGAAUUUGAAUAAAUCGAAAUUAAGUUUUAUAUUUUGAAUUAUCCGUUCAAUUUCUAAUUUUUAUUUUUUAAAAAAUAUAUUUAAAAUUUUGACAUUAUUUUAAAUAUUUGAAGUAAAUUAUUAAUAUUUAAUUUUUAGUUUGAAUUUAAACUAAUAUAUUAUAAAAAUAAAAUUGACAUAUUAAUUUGCUUACAUUUUUGAUAUCAUCUAUCUGAACCAAACACCGACAAUAGAAAUGAUUCAUUCCGAUUCUGAUUCAGGUGGCAAACUAUAUAAAAUAAGAUAAUGAAUCAUUCCAAUUCUAUUUCCAAUUUAUUCUCAUACCGUUUUCGAUACUAAUUUCGAUCUUGAAUCAAACACACCCUUUAUGUCCCAAGUUUGUCUUUAUAGUUUUUUUUUCCUUUAUUUCUCAUGGGCUUUCACGAUUAUGCCUUUGAUUGUUCUGUUAACUUAGUUGCUUAGAUUUGGGAACUAAUCUAUAUAUCUUUCUCAUCUCUAUUUAAAUUAGGUUUGGGGACUGUCUAUUGUAUCUUUCCAUUUGUUUGGUUUUGGAAUUUUAUGUAUGUUUUCUUUUUAUAUCUUUAUUGUUCAGGACUCUGCUCAAAAUUUUUCUUGAAAAUUAAUUAUUGUCAUAAUCAAGUCCUACUUCAAGGGAAUGCCUACGGUUUUUUUCUUUUAAAAAAAUAUAUAUCAUUUUAGAUAUAUAUAACUCAUAUAUAUAUUUUCCAAAGUGAACUAUUUACAAACCCAAAAAAAGGUGAAAUAAAAAGUUAGUAAAUUUUUCCAUUUUUUUUAAAAAUUAUUUGUUAAGUUCAUUGAGGUUAAAAGCGUUAGGAAUGGCUUCCAUUUCGCUGUUAAUUGUAGAUUGUUUAAAACUUUGUAACUGUUUCGUGUCAAAAAUUAAUCAAGAGUACUAUUUUUUGUUUUUUUGUUUUGAAAAUAAGUUUGCAAACUUACAAUAAUAUAUAAAAAAGAGUAUAUAGAGAAGUCCAUCUCUAGUUUCUUGAAUAAAGUAGAACUUGAGCAAAGCAAAAAUAAUAUACACAAACAAGGGCAAAUACAACAUUAGCUAUUUAAAAAACAGGGGUUAUUUUUAUAAAUUUUAAAUUUUUUAAUCAAAAUACUAAAUUAAAUGGAAAUAAUUUAUUAUUAUUAUUUUUUAAUUUUAUAUAUUUUUAAAAAAUUAAAAAAUUAAAGGGCCGGCCUGGGGCAUGGCCCGGCCCGGCAUGGCCCGUGACUUCUGGGCUGCAGGGCUGUGCUGGGCUGGGAGCUGGUUAGCUCUGGCCCAGCACGGCUCGGCCCGAAUUUGACGACGGGCUGGGCCGGGCCGCCCCAUGGCUCAUUUCAGCCCGACUAAUGAGGGCCAUGCCGGUCCGGCACGGCUCAUAUUACACCCCUAUCCCUAAUCUUUAUUAUUUUGUUCAUUAUGGCCUUUGCCAUCUAAGCAUUACACAGAGUAACUAACUCAACGCAACUUCUGUGUUUACGACCCAAAACUAUGAUGCUAGAUAAAGUAAGUCUUGUGUGAUAACCAAACUCGGUAAUAUCGAUCAAAAUGCUUUUGUUUAGUUAUUAGUAUCAGAAUGUUUAUUGCUUAUAUACUGGCAAUAAUUUCUUUUUAUGCAAUACGAAACUAGUUGAGUACUGUAGAUUCUCCCUUUUUAAACUUUGACGGUUAAACUUUGACACUCAAUCAAUUUUACACACAGAGACUCUCUUCGUUGCAAAUGGCGCCCUUGUGAAUUCUAGCCGAACACAUAGUCCAAAAUAACUAGCUAGACAUGAGUUCUUACUUUAAGCUUAUAACUGCUUUGGUAACAUCUGUUAUACCCAGUCCACUAGAUCCUAAGCAAGAACCAUAAGCCAAGUUAUUAAUAUUAGAGUGCUUGGUCCUUGCAUACCCAGAGGAAGUUUCGUUUCAAGCCAAUAUGAAAAUAUUGGAGUGUCACAUCUUAAUAAGUGUCACGCAUCUUGUUACCAAAACCUAUGGCUUACCCCAAAAAAAAAAAUUCUAUAGAUGAGAUUUUUAUCCAUAUAUGUGAAAAAAACUACAGUUGCAUAUUGUUUCCUUUAAAUUUGAUAUUAGCACAUAAACUAGGCUGAGAUUGCGACGCCCUAAUAGUCCCACAUUUUGUGGGAAGGAAAUUAUGCAUGAAAAUUUAAGGACCAAUUAAUGCUCUAAUAGUAAUAACUAAGCUUAAACAUUUUAGGUUAUGUUGGUUCAUAAUUGAAAUAUGGAUAGAAAAAAUAAUUGGGUUGUAUUGGAAUAGAACAUGAAAUAGCAAAUCAUGCAAAAAUAUUUGUUUUAUUAUUGGAAUAGAUAUUAAAAUGGAUAUCUAGAAUUAGGGUUUUGCUUAAGAGAGAAGGGAGUGAAAAGGGAAGAGAAGAGCGAAGUGUUUGAGAGAGACGGCUUUGAGUGAUUUACUUUGGAAUGGACCAAUCCAGAAUUGAAAGCCGGAUAGAGCUAUAAAUGGAUAUGGUCAUUCCCAUUCCAAAAUGGAGUGCAAAUAGAAAUUCUUUUUCUGUAAAACAAGUAACAAUUAUCAGAAUCAAUAAAAAUCUCAUUUUGAUCCAAAGUCUAAAAUACAUAAACCAAACAAGUCUUUAGUUUCAGAGUCGGUAUCGAUAUGCUAGUCGAUAGUGUGAGAUAAGAUGACCUAAUAGUCCCACAUUGGAUGAAAGAGAACUAUGCAUGGAAACUUAAGGACCAAGGCUUAGUACUAAAACUGGCCUUAAGCAUUUUGGGCUAAUGGUUUAGGCCGAAUGAGUUAUUAGUUUAGUGGAUUUUAGUCGUUAUAGAGAUGUUGCUAGGCCUUGGUGCUAUAGAUUCAUUUUUGACGAUAGGGCUUUCGAUUCAAUAACCGACACGGCUAAAAAUGGUUGAGGUACUUUGUAAAUCGUAUAAACAAAUUUUGGAAUAAUUUGAUGCCAUUCAUGUAGUGAUCAAGCAACCUCAAAAUUGAAAGUUUUUCAUUUUUGUUUUAUUAUAUUUUUAAGAAUUUUUAAAUUGGCCAAUUUGCAUAAAAAAUCCACUACUUUUGUGAUUUUUAAAAAGUGGGUCAUUAUUCUGAUUUUGUAAAUUCGGGCAAGAUUUUCAGAAAAUUAAUCAAAAUACCUUUAUUCUCUUUUCUCUCUCUCUCUUUUUUUUCCUUUGUUCUUUUUUUUUUUUUUCUUUCAGACCCUCCUCUACCACCUCCGCGGCCCUCAACGAUGGACGAGGGCAGCGCUGUCUCCUCUUCCUCCACCUCUGCCUACGCCGGUAUCAACACCGAAGUCGGCGCCAGAGGAGAAGAACUCGGAGUCGCCUCUGCCUCUGCCUCCGUUGGCAUCGGCAUCAACACAGCGCUAGAGGCGAAGAACUCAGAGUGGGCGUGGAUGAGGGCGAAGCAAAUGGAAGCGAUGAGCUCGUGGCCGAUGAGGUGCUCACUGCCCGUGAGAAUGAGGACGAAGACGUGUCCAUCUCCAAGGAGCGAAAAAAGAUAUAGAGGGUAGAAAAAAAAAGUAAAAAAAUAAGAAAAAAUUUCUCCUUAAAAGACCAUUAUAUAUCAUCGUAUUACAGGAAAGGCCAAGAAUCAGAGAAGAAUGAAGAAGAAGAUGAUGGUUGCACUAUUAAUAUAAAGUUACACUGUUUCACAAAAAAAUACACUAUUUAAGAUGAAUGUUGUACUCUUUGAAAUGAAAAUUGUAUUCUUUAAAAUAAAUUUGCAUUCUUUCGACAAAAGCUAUAUUAUUUUAGAGAAAAUUGCACCCUACUUUCUAUGGCAACCACUCUCGCCAGUGCAAAAAUGGGUUGUAGCUCGGCUUCUUCCUCUUUUCAUAAUCAUUUUUGAACUACGAAACGCUUGGUUUCCAUUUUGGUUGUAGGUGUAACCAACCUGCUAUUAAAGAUAUAGUAGAAAUAGAAAAGGACUUUCAUUUCCAGUCUACCAUUAUUUAAUAUUUUAUUUAUGCAGUGAUUUCAAAUCCAGAAGCAUCAAGUAAAAUCAUUCUAUUCGGAUUCAGCCUCCCCUACGCGAGGCUCGCCUUAUUCCCACGCGGCAGCGGAGAUCUGCUACCGCCACCGCCACUGCCACCACCGGCGUCGGAGCCAUGUUCAACAAGAUCAUCAAGCACGGCGGCCGCAAGAUGCCCAAAUCCGAGUCCUCCUCCCUCGACCCCUCCUCCCCGCUCCCUCUGCUCUGCUCGUCUCCAUCAACCACACCUCCCGCUCGACCACUGCCGUUGCCGCCGCAUCCCCGCUCUCCCCGGGCUCUUCCUCCAUCGCCAGCCGCCGCACGAGCUCAUUGAGUUCAUCCAAUCCGACUCCUCGGGGCACGUCCCAGAGCCCCUCUAGGACGAGCUCCAACACGACGCACGGGGUGGAGAGGCUCGCGCUAGCAAGGGUGGUCGCCAUGGACUGUAGAGUGCAAUUUUCUCCAAAACAUUAUAUCGUUUGUUGAAAUAGUGCAACUUUCAUUUAAAGAGUAUAAUUUUUAUCUCAAAGAGUGUAACGUUCAUCUCAAACUGUGCAAUUUUCUUAUGAAACAAUAUAAUUUUAUUUUAACAGUGCAAUAUUCAUAUUCUUCUUUCUUCUCUGAUUCUUAGUCUUUUCUAUAACAACGGCGAUAUAUAAUGGUCUUUUAAGGAAAUUUUUUUUUAUUUUUUAUUCUUUUUUCUAUCCUUUAUAUCUUUUUUCUCUUCUUGAAUAUCGGCACGUCUUCAUCCUCACCCUUAUAGGCGUCAAACACCUCCCCGGCCAUGAUCUCAUCGCUUCCGUCCCCGCUGUCCUAUUCACGCGCACUCCGAGUUCGCUUCCUCCAACACCGGUGUCGAUACCGGCACCGGCGGAGGGGGAGGAAAAGAAGGCAGCACCGCCCUCAUUACCAUCGCCGAGGGCCGCGGAGGUGGUGGAGGAGGGUUUAAAAAAAAAAAAGAACGAAAGAAACAAAAAUAAGAGAGAAAAGAGAAUCAUGGUAUUUUAGUCAGUAUUUUAAAGAUUCGAUCCGAAUCUGCAAAAUCUAGAAUAAUGGCCCACUUUUACAAAAUGGCAAAACUAGUGAAUUUUUUAUGCAAAUUGGCCUUUAACAUUCUAUACGAGGCGUUUUCUCUUUUAAUAGAGUAGAAAUGCAUAACAUGAGUUGAGUUGUGUAUAAACAAUCUUUUCACUAUGGAAAUUGAAAUAUGUUAUUGUGAAUUUUCCAAUGAAAGAAUUUAAUCCUCUAAUUUUAGAAGGUUAUUGAUUUUUGACUAUUUAUUUUAUGACCUUUCGAUGAACUAAAUUAAAAAUAUUUUUUGAAAAAUCAUAUAAAACAUUUAAUUAAAAAAAUCAACUACUCAAAAUUACUUAGAUGAUGCCCAUGUCAUUUCAACCACUCUAACCCUCUGACAUUGAAAAUGAGUUUAUAGCAUCAAUAAUGAUAACUUAAUUGUUAAAAAAAAAAAAAAAAAAAAAACUUCAAAAAACCCUAUGUGGUUUCAUUUUUUAUCACUUUAGUACCCUAUGGUUUAAAAUGUAUCAAGUUAGUACCAUGUGAUUUCUCACUUUAUCACUUUAGUACCUAAUGGUUUAAAUUGUAUCAAGUUAGUACUCUGUGUUUUGCACUUUAUCACUUUAGUACCCUAUGGGUUUAAUUUUCUAUCAAGUUAGUACCCUGCGGUUUUUAAACCACAGGGUACUAAAGUGAAAAAGUGCGAAACCACAAUGUACUAAACUGAUAAAGUGCAAAACCACAGGGUACUAACUUGAUACACUUUAAACCACAGGGUACUAAAGUGAUAAAGUGAUAAAUCAUAGGUCCUAACUUGAUACAUUUUAAACCACAUGAUACUAAAGUGAAAAAAAGUAUAACCACAAGUAGGGUUUUUGAAAUUUUCCCUAAAAAAAAAAAAGACAUAUGCAUUAAUACCAUUUUUUUUCAGGAAUUAAUACGCCUUUACAUUGUUAAAAUAUUAUCUUGAAACUUAAAUCACAAGUAUUAGGAUUGUUUCCAAUCUAUAUUGCUUAAAAGAUCGAUAUCAUAGAAAAUAACUUAAAAAUAUAUUUAACGAAAAAAAGCCUCAGAACCCAAUUUAAUUAUGUCAUUAUAAACACUACCUAUUUUUGUUUGCUCCUUGCGUAAAAGUCCAAAAAAAAUAAAUAAAAAUUGUGAAAUAACAAGUUCAUGAUUCAAACAAGCCCACAAAUAUAGCUCAAGAGGUCACCUUCACUUAUCUAUUAAACUCUACUUUGGUGCUAUUUCAGUUGCCAUAUUAUAGUGUUUGUUCUUUUCCAAACAUGCAUCAUUAAUCAUCAUUUUCUCAUCAAUCUAUAGGGAUAUCUGUAAUAUCUCUGGAGUUCAGCAUUUGGGACUUGACGACAGCUAUGGAGAGUGUCGGGACAAAUUCGAGUCAUAUUGGCGCGAAAUAGAUGUCAACUGGACUUAGUGGGAUGCGAGGGCAGGAAAUUAGCACUGAAAUAUGCAAAAUAGCAGAUUUUCUGCAUUGAGAACCGGUGACAACCAGGGGUGUACCGGUACCCUGUGUAAUAUGCACGCAGACCUGCUCUCGGAUUGCAUUUUCUGUUGCGGGGUAUUGGUACAACAUCGACUUGGUACCGGUACUCCAGGGUAGGUGAGGGGCUGUUUGGUCUUUUGGCUAUCUCGUUGUUUUCACCCUCUCUCCCACUCCUUCAUAUACGUGUAGAGAGGCCAGGAAGGGGUUUUGCUGAUAUUCUCUCCCUCUCUCUCUAAGAUUGAGCCGUACGUGGAGGAGGCUUCGGGUGGAGUUCGGGUCUACAUCGACAUUGCGCCGCGGUGCCGUUCGAGCGUGCGUUCGUCGUGGUAACGUCGUUGGGAAGCCGGGCGAGCGUGUGGUUCUGCUUCUAGCGACUUCUCGCCGGUUUUGGAGUAGCUUUCGAGGUGGGUCAAAGUGAUUCUUACCGGAUUUCGUGGAUUUCCUCCUAAUUCUAUAUGUUGACAGCAUGUGCUUUUUAGCUUCGUUUAGCAUAUUGUUUAGCUCGAUUUUUGGAUUUGUAUAUUUUUUAUCUUGAAUUGGAGCUUAGAAUACUAGCUAAAUAAUACAUGUUAGACUUGGAUUUGACUUAGAAGAAAACUGGCUUUCUACACUGUCAUAUGUUCAAACUACUAGAUUUAGUUUUAGGAACCGUAGUUUGUUUGUAUCGCCGCAGUUUGUGGGCGAUAGAUAUCCGGAAUAGUGUAGAAUAUAUUUACGCUCGUGCUGAGGUGCCAAGUGUAUUUUACGGCAGUGUUUAGACUGUUCCGGAUUGUCGGUUGCCGUUGAGGUUGACGGUGAACCCAGAUUGCGGUUUUUGCAUCAGAUUGUGCCGAGGGCACAUAAGUACAGUUGUUAGACCCUGUUUACUUGACUAUAGCCUGUGAGAGCCUGGUUGAGCUUGACAGAGACACGCUUGCAUACUCGGUUGGGUAGCGCCUACUAGUGCCACUCCGGAGUCGGGCUUUGUGCUCUUGCGUUGGUGUCGUUUUGUCCUGAUUGGACUUGCUCUCCACUGACGAUCUGGUUUGGUGUUAGUUAGUGUAGCUUCGACAGGCAGGACAAGUGAGUUCACAGUCCCUAGUGAGAUUGGGUCAGGUUGUACUUUUCUACAGAUAGUUGGUGUUAGACCGAGAUAGUAUAGAUGCAUAUAGCUGUAGAUUUAUUCCAGCUUUCUUACUAUACUUGUUUACAUCUGUAGACUUAGUGGGUGAGCCGUUGAGGUCGGUAGCGGUACCCACUGAGGACUACUUUUUUUUGCAGUAGUUCUCACGCCCAGUUGUUGGAAUCUUUUGCAGAGCCUUCUUCUUCAGCUGCUGCUGCUGCUGAUUCGGACCGUGGAAAGGGAGUCGCGUGUUAGAUCCCUUCUCAGUUGCUGUUGAGCUAGAGUAUACUAGCUACAGGUAGUGAUAGUUUUUGAGUUCAUAUACAUACUUAUGUUGUAUCUUGCUGGAGCGAGCUUUUUGUAUACAUGGAUGUGAUGUAUAUAUGUAUAGUGAACUUUUAUUUUUCUUAUGUAUGCUUUCUCUUUUAGCAGUUCUACACUACUGGUUGUAAUGUUGUAUGAUUACAGGUACAGCUUUCGCUUUGUAUACAGAAAAAAUUUCUAUACAUACGACGGGUCUGUUAGCGUGUCCGGGAAAACUAAUAAUCCGGGGCGUGACAAUAUCAACGGAUAGGAUUUGGGGUGGGUUUUCAAAAACCUGAACCCUAACCCAACUACCCACCGGAACUCCAAUCUAACAGAUUUUAAAAAUUAAUAUCCAAAUUGAAACCCAAUUGAAAAUCCGAAAUCUGAACCGAACCCGAAAACCCAAAUCCGAAAAAAUUGCUUUUCUGGUUUGGAUAGAAUUUUGAAUAAUCUAUACCCAUUGAUAUUAUCUACAUUGUACCUUAAGUAUAUUUUUUUAUUUGCUACCCUAGAAUUUUUACUUUUUUCAAAGUCACCACUAAAUUACCAUAUUUUGGCUAAUCUCUAUAUUAUUAUCAACAAAUAUAUUGUUUUACACGGAAGCUAACAAAUCCAUUAAAAAACACUAAUUAGAUAAUGAGAGAAGGACAAAAGCCUCAAAAAUAGAUUCAUUUAUAAAUUAGUUCUCACCUAUUUUUUUUGCUAAUUUCUAAAUUUUUUUCAAAUUAAUUAUAUACAGAGCCCUGCAAAUUAAUAUAGUGAAUUAUAACUAUAUCACUACAAUGUUCAACUUUUAUAUAUUGUCUCUAUAAAAGUCCUAAUAUUUUCAAAUAUGUUCAUGUCAUUAGAAAAUGUUAGAAAAAUUUAGUCGACCAUAGGUUAAAUAUACUUUGUGAGAUAACUUGAUAUUUUUACCCUUUUAUAUUAUACUGUUGUGACUUUUGGAGGAACAUAUUUGUGAUGGCAAAAUUGAUAUUUCACUUAUUUGCUGUUAAAAUAUAAAUAAUUUUUAAUAGUAAUAAACCAGAGUGAUAUAUUUGAAAAUAUUAUAAUUUUUAUAAAAACAACAUAUGAAAGUUGAACUUUGUACUGAUAUAUUUGCAAUUCACUAUAUUUGCAGGUACCUGUAUGCAUUUAACCUUUUUUACUUAAUUAAAAUAGGGUGAAUGUACAGAUAAACAACAUAUGAAAGUUGAACUUUGUACUGAUAUAUUUGCAAUUCGAUCACUAUGUUUGCACGUACAUAUAUGUAUUUAACCAUUUUUACUUAAUUAAAAUAGGGUGAAUGANCCUUCCAAAAAAAACAAAAAAACCUCCCAAAAACAAAAAAAAGUGGUGUUUCUUGGAGAAAAAAAAAAAGUAUUCAUAGGAAAUGGAAAAAAAAAAAGAAGAAAGCCCUAAACUGCUAUGUAGUAUAGAAUAGUCUCUUUUUUCGCAGUUAAAUAAAAACUAAGCAGCUUUUGUAACACCAAAACCACUAAACCUACCUAAUUAGUUUACAAUUUAAGGUAGGGAAUGGAACCUACCCUAAUUUAUUAGGAUCUGAUGCGGCUAAUUUGGCAAUUAGAUUUUAUAGAGAAACUUGAUAUAACUAAGUGGGCGAAAAUCACAUUGAGUUAAAAGCAAUUCUUACAAACAGACUCAAAAGUUUUUUAAACAGUUAUAACUUUUCACACGUGUCCAUUCUUAAUGUGCAGUCCCAAUUCGUGAACAAUUUUUUAAGAUCUACAUGUUGAACUGCUUCACUGUUCAGGCAAGUUUGAAAUCCAAAUUCAUGCAGGAUAUUUUGAGUCAGAUUGAAGAGUCAGUUGUGAUCAAAUUAGAUUUAGAGAUAUUUUAGAUUCUGUUAUUUUCUUUCAUUGUAGGAUUCUAAUAUUGCCUACAUAAAUAUAUGUUGUUCGAUUAUUGUAAGCGGUUUUAGAAUUUUGAUCAGUAAUAUAUUUGUUUUCGUUUUUGAAAUAUUAUCUUCUUCAUGUCUUUUUUCUUGCUUGCUAUGCUUCUUCUUUCUCAACACGGUUUAGACCUGCACUAGAAUUUAAGAAAAACACCGACCGUCCCUAGAGCAAGUGGCAAAGGGCUUGGUGGUUGGUACCUGAGGUCCCAAGUUCGAAUCCUAGUUGAUUCACAUUGCUAACAAGUUUAUUUCUAAAUGAAAUAAACAAAAGCGGGUAGCGUGCUAACUAUCUCUCAAAAAAAAAAAAAAAAUCUAAGAGAAAUUUUUGUUCUCUUAAAGGAGCUAGCAUUCUGUUUUGUGGCGAAAUGUCAAGUUGAAUCGAAUCACGUUCGAAAUGGCAGAAGGUCAUGUAGGACAAAAUCAUGUUCGAAGCAGUAGAAAAUUAACUGAGUCGAAUUACAAUCAAGAAUGUUGUGUUUGCAUACUUUGAGAAAAUUAAUUGUAAUUUUUUAAAAGCAAUAAUUUUUUAAAUUAUUAAUUUGCGCCACCCUAAUAUAUAUAUAUAACUGUCAUACCACAAUGCAUUUAUAUAGUCUAAGCUCUACACAAAGGAUGUAAAGUCCCACUUAGCUGCUGGCAUUGCAUGCCACAAAUGAAAAGCUCUAGAAGGUCAAAAAGAUUAGACAUAUUGUGGGAUAGAAAAAAAAAUAAAAAAUUACACUAUCAAUGCCUGUUUUUUCCAAACUUAGUUGACCAAGUCACAUCAUCAAGAGAGGUUGUUCUCAAGGAAUAAUAAUAAUAAUAAUAAUAAUAAUAAUAACAAGGGCAAUGCUCCUAUAUACCAAAUAAACCUUAGUCCUUAAAUUUUUUAAAAUAGAUGGUAGUGAUGCAUCUUUUAUAAAGGGAUGACCGGCUCUUGUUAUAAUCGGUACCAGUCACCCUCCCUACCGAAGGCAAAAACUUCCUCAUUAUAUGGAGUUGCACUGAGGGUAUUUUCGUAAAUUCUCAUCCUCAUAACAUACCAUUCUUGUAAAUGUAGAAUAUUUCAUCUUUUUCGAUUCUUAUCCUUCAAUAUUUCAUAUAUAAUUACUUUUCUUAAAUUAAAUUUUCUUUACUAAUGAAUCAUAUUCAAAUUCAAAAUAUAAAAUGAUGCAUUAUUGAAAGAAUUUAGCCUAUCCGUUAUUCUUGAGUCUAACUUGAACAAGAGCUUGAAAGGUUAGCCAGUUUUAAAUUUAUUUGUACAAUUUGAGUAUUAAAUAAAAAAUUAAAUUUGUCGCAAAUUUAAAUUUUUGUUGCAUCCAAAAUUAUAUUCAAAUAUAAAAUAUUGCAAAUAACAAGUUAUAUUAUGUAAUCUCUUAGUAAUAGAAUAUGAAAUAUUGUCCCUACGUCAAUGUUUAAAAAAUUUUGAAUUUGACCUUGUGAUCAAUAGUUUUAACUAAUUAAGUUCAUUACCUUAAUUAAAAUAAUUAAAACUUUUAUGAUCUUCAUAAGUUCCGGUAUAAAUUAUAUAUUUUCUUCUCAAAUCAUGAGAAACGUAACACUUUGGUAGACUAACUUUAGUAAAUUGUAAUUUCAAAUUAAAUCUUUUUGAUUAUUACAUCAAUUCUAAUGGUCCAAUUUAGAUAGCCGAAUUAUGAUUUGACGUUGAUGUGGUAGUGAUGUAGCAUUUUAGCCAUUCUCAUACCAUCAAUUAUAAGUUCAAUUUAGAUUCAAAUUUAAAAGUUUAAUAUAAAUUUCAAAAUUAAAAUUUUACAUUACAAUACCAAUUUCAAAAAUUAAAUUUAAAUUCAAUAUUUUUUUGAGCUGGAUACUUAACAAAUUGGGUAUCAUCUAAUUUGGUAAGUUAUUAAAGUAAUAAGAUAUUUAAUACUUAAAGGAUGCUGAUAAAUUUGGUAUAUGCUAAUUUUUUUUCCAAUAUUGUCAUGUUAACUUAUUCAAAUCGGUAACCUGUUCAACAGGUUACUUCAUGUAAAUCCCAAUUAUACCUUUUAAUAUUUAUGGUGUAUUGAAGCAUUCCUCUAAUAAUAAUAAUCUAUAAUCUAUAAUUUAUAAUCUUCUAUAACACUAAUGAAAGGAGAGCCUAAAGCGGCUCUCCCCGCGUUUUGUGGGGGCCGGUGGCCCCCACUUUUUUUUUUUUUUCCCUCUCUCUCACUCUCUUACUUUCUUUUUUUUCUUUUUUUUUUCUCUCAACACUCUCACUCUUCUCCCUCUCUCUCUUACUUUCUUUUUUUUAAAUUUUUUUUUCUUAACAUUUUUUUUAAAUUUUUGCCUACAUUAAGUAUAAAAUUUUAUCGUAUGUAUCAAUUCUAUUUUUUAAUAGUCAAUAUAACAAAUAAAUAUAAAAUUUUAUUGCAUAGAUCAAUACUAUUUUUUAAUAGUCAAGAUAACAAAUUCAUAUGGUUUUUGUCCUUAUUUUUUUUUAGUCCUUUCUAUAAUUUAUUCUUAUAUUUUUAUUGCAGCAGUAGUUACUUAUUCUUUAGUUGCUUCCUUUUUUAUAUAAUUUUUUGACUUUUUCUACUUUCUUUACUUUAUUUAUUUAUUUAUUUAUUUAUUUGAAAUCAUUCCGCCGCAACGUGCCGUCCUUCACUAGUAAUAUAUAANUUUUUUUUAGUCCUUCUUAUAAUUUAUUCUUAUAUUUUUAUUGCAACAAUAGUUACUUAUUCUUCAGUUGAUAUUUAUUUAUUUGAAAUCAUCCCGCCGCAACGUGCGGUCCUUCACUAGUAAUAUAUAAUGAUAAAGCAAGUUAUCUAUGAGAUUUUGUUGGUGAGUUUAGUAUCUUUGUGCAUUAGACCAAUGGAAGUAGGGGGGAGCACUAUUCAAAUCGAAUUUUCGAACCGAAUUAAUUUAGUUUGAUCAGAAAAUUCAACUGGACCAGUUUUUUGUUUUAAGCACUUCGAUUUGAUCUAAAAUUUUAAUUUUUAAUGUUCGAUCUGGAUAUCUAACUCGAAAUCCAAACCAGCUGAAUUAAAUUAUGUGCUAUAUUUUAAAAUAUUUUAAAAAGUAAAAUAAAAUUUGAAAAUUUUGGUUCGGUCCACUGCUCUACUAAAACCGAUCGAACCAACCAAAUGCUCUCAGCCUCGAUGGAAAUAGAAAGGCUGUUUUAGAAGAGCUUUGUCACGCCCCGGGGUCCCUUUUCGGUCUGGAAAGACAGCGGAAACGACUAAAAUUUUUUUUUUUUUUGAAACACCUGACCCCAGAGUAUGUCAGAUCCACCACAAUUACAGGGAAUCCACUGUUCACACGGACAGAGUUUCCCCUGUAUUUGCACGGCGUCGCACAAGUACAGAUACACAAUCAGAGUACAACCAGAAUACAACCACAACCAUAUGAACACACAAUCACAACUGCACAUGCAGACGUUCAUACAUUCACCAUUCACAACGCGACAGUAUUCCAAGUUUUAAACAUAAAUCCAGAACUAUCAUUUAAAAUGUUUCCCACACAAAAACUUUUAUCUUUUAAAACGCUACCACGAGGGGUAGAAAACCAUCGAAAACUGUAUUGAAUAUGAAAAUCCUUUUUCUUUUUAAAACAAGCGCUACCACGAGGGGUAGAAAACCAUUUUACUUGAAAAGCUCAUAAAUCUCUUUUUAUUACGAAAACCCAGCAGAAAACUGAAUAUUCAAGUACCGAAUGAAACUGAACCAAAAUGAAAGUUUACUAUUUAUUCAAGCAAGGAAAAAUAGAUAACCAAACGGGACGGAGCUCUAUCGCGCGCUAGACUCGCUCCUCACCUGCCGUCCCACUCGGACCUGCGACGUUACCUGUAAUGGGGGCGGGGGCUGAGAACAUGUAAACAUGUCUCCCCUCCCAGUGGGUACCGCAAGCCGACGAGGGCGAGGGUACGCACCAGCAAAGGAGGCUAAGCAACAGUAAAGGUAAACAACUACAGUAGCUACUAUGAUAUAAGAACAGAAAGUACAAGUAAGGAACUGAUGUACAAGUAAUGAACUACUGCUACUGUAUGUAUGCAUCAACUGGUAGAUAGUCCAAGGAUACCCAAUCUAAACCUGCCUUGUUGGUCCNGAGCGGUUGAAAACGAGCUAUUGGAAGGCUAUAUUCGGAGUCCGAUACGCGUCGAAAGUCCACUUUACUUGGCGGCCUCUCCGGAAAACCGGAGUUACUAUUCACUUAAGUCAGACUUCCGGGUCGCGUAACUUCUCCGUUUUAACUCGUUUUCUCCUGAAAUUUGACGGGUACACUUAUAAUUAUAUUACACACAAGAACAUCAUCAAACAAAAGGGUUUAAUCAAUAAAUCAAAAAUCUCAGUUAUUACAAGCUUUUUAAGAGAUUUUAGAGUUUUAGGUAUUAAGAACUAUCAAAUAUUAUUAAUUAGGUUAAAAGGAGUAGGGAAAAAAAUAUUUAGUAAUAUGCUUCUACGUACAUUUCUGGUGAGAUCGCAAAAAUCAUAUCGUAACUGGAUUAUUGCAAUUACGCAAUACAACAUUUUUUAUAAAUUUUUCAUCGCACUUUCUCAACUUAUGUCACGUAUUCUCUUCACGAAUCCAAAUGGAUCGUAAGGGUUCGUUUAGAAUUACGGUGCGGUAUAUCUACGGCUCUACAAUAUCUAUAUCCCACUUGGGAAUAAGCAUGGAAUCUAUACCUACAUAUGAAUUUUCAUUGCUAAAUCCAUAUGGAAGUGCCACCUUCAUUUGAGGGUGGUGGGACCUACUAUUAUUUUUAAUCUUUUUUAUUCUCUUUUAUUUUAGUAAAACUAUUUUCUCUCUCGCAACCCUUUUUCUCUCUCUCUCUCUCUUUUUUUUUUUUUACUUCCAUCUCUUUUUUUUUUAAUCUCUCGAACCAAUAAAGGUGUCUCUCCCUCUCAAUGUAUGAUUUUAGGUUUUUCUUUUUCUCUCCCCUUUUUUGUCGCUCGCCGCUCGGAGCCCUUUGGCCCUCACUCGCUGCUCCUCAUGUGUCCUUGACAAGAACGACUUGCGGUGCCGUCACCAGCUGUCCUAUUCUCAACAAUUAUGGAAUAUCUAUAUUCUUAUGUUUUUAUUUUUUUUUAUCAAUUAUCUACCUGUCGCAUCACGCAGGUUAUUUCAGUAGUAUAUCAAUAUAUUCUCUAUAAAUCUAAUCCCCUACUCUCUACGCAUUUAAUGCAAUCACUCUUAGAAAUAUUCUUAUUCCUUUUUUUUUUGUCUUUUGGAGGAAACAUCAGUAUGCUGCCGGCUUCGUUCCUCAGAAAAGAUGAAUUAGACUAAAAAAUUAAUAAUAAUAGGAUAAAAAACUAUCUCUCAAUUUAUUUUUUCUUAAUCCUUAGUCUAUGAUGCAUUCAGUGCACCUGAUUAUCAUGUUAAUUUAGUUAUUAGCUCUAAUUAAUCCCAAUUGUUCCAGAGAUUAAGCAUACCCUAAAAUGUGUAUUAGAAACCAUAUGGAUCCAAAUCAAUAACUAAAAUACAUAUCCUUAACUAUGUUACGCAAAAUAUCUAUCUCAUAGGAAACGUACUAGAAUUAGCUUUAAUACCUCUUUUAUUCUCAUUUCAGGCUCACGUGCAUGGUAGAUAUCAGGCAAAUGUCAUAUUAGGUUCACAUGCGUAUGGAUAUCACGUAAACUUUAACGGGAACCUCGUAUCACAUGCACUGAUACUAAAGGUGGUAGAUUAAUAUCAGAUCAACCUCAUAUCAAGUUCACAUGCAUGAUAAGUAUCAGAUGAACGACACCACAUGCACCAGCCAAAGAGGUAAUUAAUAGAAGAAACAAUGAAAUGCUAAUAAAUAAGAAUACGAAAAUCGAACUCACAAUCUCUUGGAACAUACAGAGCUUCAGAUUAUCUUAAAAAAUCAAUCUCAUACGAAACGUUUGAGAAUUAGUCAUAGUAAAUUAAUUAGGAGCAUAUCAUGCGCUUUGUGAUUCGAUCAGCCUAGUCUACUUGAAUAUAUAGGACUUUGCAACUUCCCGAUUCCCAAGUACUGCUACUGUAUAUAAGUUGAAAUUAUGAACAGACAUUAAGAAUAAAAUACCACAUAAAUGUAUCAACAUAUUAAUAAUUUGUGGAGAUAUUAUUUUGUGGGACACCAAAAGCAGUUCCCCAUGCAUGUUAAUUUUCAUUAUAUUUUUAUUACGAAGGAAAGCGAUAAAAUUGUAAAUCCCAAAUUGGAUGCAAAUCAAAAUAUUCUCGUCUGUAUAUAUUGUGAGGAAUUUUUUUAUUAAUCAGCUUAAACUUUUAGAUUGGCUCGACCCAUUUAACGUGGUAUCAAAAUUUUUAGAAUUUAUCAUAUUGCCGUAUCCAUACUUUGUAUCUGUAUCUGUAUAACAUAGCUAUCAAGUUAAGCGCAUCUGGAAUGGAUGUAAGCUUUUGGAGUAAACACUUAAUUGUCAAGGAUGGAAGGUUCGCUGGCUAAGCAGAUCGAUCCCAUGCAACAUGUUCCAUUAAUGGGAAAAAUAAAGAUUCUUCUAUUUUUCUCAUGAUCUCGUGUACUUACAUUAAGGAAAAGCCCUCUUUAUUGACUUUACACAUGAGAAGCCUACAAAAUUAGGAGGUGGAGGCAUGCAUGUGUAGGGUAUAAGAUGAAAGGAAUGCUAAGCUAGUUGGCUUCCUCUCUUCCACGCCUUUGAAUUUGGAGACAAAGCGUAGCUUCAUUUAGACUUUUUCAAGAGAAGAAUCAGUUAUUAUUUUUAUAUUGAAGUACGUUUACCCUCACUUUCAUGCAUAAGCUCACAACUUUGACUCUUCUUUUACCCUCUAUUUUCAACAAAGAACCUCUUGAUUUGGAUAGGAAUUAGAGCAUGGGGGAAGCUUCCAAUUUGAGGGCAAAAAGGUUUACUUUAGAGAAUAUUUGGUUGCAUUUUAUUGCUAUUCGAUCUAUCGUUUGGAUUGUUGCAUGAGCAUUAAUUAGAUUGCUUCAGUAGAUGGAAUUAUGUACAAAUUAACUCUAGUUCCAACUGCAUUAGCUGAAGAGAGUAAUUUUCAAUAAAAAGUAACUAAAAUUAUCUAUCUAAUAAACUUUAAAUGGAAAAUUUUUAGUUUUUCUUCUUCGUUGGAGAUAACUUCAAUCCUUAACUAUAUGCAUCUUUCAAUGUACUGCAUUUACAGUUACAUCUAACUAAAUAGGACCCCAGAUUACUUUGUUCAUUUUCAAGAUGAGCCUGAUCACAAAUAGAAUUCACGCAAGUGAUUCGAAACUCAAAAUCUUCUGUUCACAUACCAUGCCUCUAAAUUGCCAUAUACCUGUUCAGUUCUGUUUUUAUUUUUGUACUAAACAAUAGCGGAUUAUAUACUAGAUCUCAUGGAGCAUAUAGAGCGUUUGAGAAAUAACAUUCUAAGCUCGAAUAGCAAAAGAUUCAAAUUGGUGCUUCUGAUUCUACCGCAUAAAGGAUGUAUAAUUAUUAUUUCGAAAUUUUGAAUUGCGAAUUAAAGGUAGUGCAUGUUGUAGUCUCCUCAAUUUGCUCCUCUAAUGAGGGGGAAUCUUUGAAACUUUGUAACACUUUUGUCUUUCUAAAAAGAGACAUAACCAAGAUCUCCACUUUGCAAUUAAGGACUUGUUUGAAUGUGCGUAACUUGUGCAUGAACUCGUGCUGUUGACAAAAGUCUAAUCGAAAUGCGUGUUUUUAAUCCACAAAGAUGAAAGGUGGAAACUGCCCGGCAUGUCCUUUGUUAUAUAUGGAAUGUAAGAGAAGGCAUGGAAUUUUAGUGACGAUCUCGAUCGACUUUGUGCCAGAAGUUAUCUAUCAAAUAUAUAUAUAUAUAUAUAUAUAUAUACACUCAUGGAAAACUUCUUAUAUAUUGGAAUAUGCUAAACUCCAAGAUGGUAAAGAAGAAUUAAUUAAAUGCUGUAGUUGGAUUUUAUAUAUAUGCCAUCCUCUUUAUUCUUUAGUUCCUUUUUAAAUGAAAGGGGCAUUGAAGCUAACUGAUUAAUUAUCAUAUAUAAUUGAUCAAAAUGAUUUGUUCAAAGGCAACUGGGAAUAUCUUUCACAAGCUUUAUUUAUUUUUAGUUCUUUAUUUUGAGAAAUUUCAAGUACUAUAUAAAUAAUAUCAAAAUUUUAAAAAAAUUAAUUUUUAGGUGAUUAAUUAAAAUACUCUAUAUUAAGUACUGUAAUAUAUACGAUCGUGGAUCUAAAAGGUGCAUUAUCCAAAAAAAAAAAAAAAAUUAAAAGUACAAAAACUUUUAUACUUUAAAAGCACCAAAGUUGGACUUUAGAACUUGGAUUGAAUUGAACACCCUCUAAUACCAAUAUAAAUGAGAAACAUACAUAAAAACAAGAAUAUGCUAUACAACCACUACAACAGAAUUAGGUUAUAGGGACACAUGUUUGGAACAAUUUUGAGUAAGUGUCCAAUUUAUACUAAAACUUAAAAAAACAUCUACCAAUGCCUAAAUAUAAAGCUCAAUCCAACCAAAAAUAAAAGAUUACUCUACUCAACCCACCACACCCAGUCCAUUUGGCCCGAUUACAAACAGAAAAGAAAAAAAAAAUGAAAAAUCAAUUACCAUCUUUUCUUCUCUCUUCACUCAAUCCACUGAAAUUCUAGACGAAGAGUCUUUCCUGUCGUCCUCCUCCGCUACCGCAGCCAACGAGAUAGAGUUUCGGCGGUUGCUAAAUGCUUAAAUAAGUGUUGGUAAAUUAGCAGCACUCUUUUAGAUUAUAACGACACUCUUUAACUAUCACUAUAUACCUAGCGACCCCACAUAUAGCAACACUUUUUAAAAAUGUCGGUAAUUUUAGCUAGCAGCACUUUUUUAACAUGUACCUAUAUUUAAAAGUGUCGCUAUAGACCGUUUUUGUUGUAGUGAACGAUGUGAUAAAUAGAGAUUUAAUACAUUAACCAUAUCG
rnacentral:lncRNA from 1 species